AGGGAUGUAGCGCAGCUUGGUAGCGCGUUUGUUUUGGGUACAAAAUGUCGCAGGUUCAAAUCCUGUCAUCCCUACCCCGUUUUUACCUACGGGAAGAAAAGAGGGGGAGACCCAUAGAUACCGAUUUGAUAGUAGAGUGACUAUCAGUUAUCAGUCAUGGGAUCAUGUCACAUGCAAAAGUGUUUUUAAGAGUAAAAAAAAGUAUUUUUUUUACUUCUUUUCUAUUCGUACCUUUUCUCUAAGAAAGCGCUCUUAGUUCAGUUCGGUAGAACGUGGGUCUCCAAAACCCGAUGUCGUAGGUUCAAAUCCUACAGAGCGUGAUCCUGUUCCUAUUCAAUCCAAUUCUAUUGACGGAUUAUCAAUAAUUUCAACUAGAACAAUCAAUUGAAUCUGACCUCCCAGGAUGAGUAGGAGGCCCAUCAAAAAAAAUGAUGUUCCUCAAUCAAAUAUCCAACUGAUCACCACGUCGGUAUUGUAAAUACGCAGUUACAAAUAAUCCAGCCAGAGUUAUAGGAAUUAAACCUAACACAAUUCCGGAUAGUAAAGCUUCAACCAUUUCGAUUCAAAAGAAUAAGUAAAGAUAAUAGCUACCCCGGAUAGUAGCCCGAAUUAACUAUUAAUAUCAAUAUAAUAUAUAAUGAUAUUAAGAGAAGCCAUGGGAUUUUCGUAAAACUAGGGUGAACGAAGAAGUUUUCGUUUUUAUUUUCAAAUAAGUCGUAUACUGCUCAAACCAAUGAAUAGGACUAAGGUGGAAAUUAGCAGAACCAAUAAUAACCCGAAAUAACUAAUUAUAGUAGGCAUGGGAAAACUCAAUGGAAGGAAUAUGAUUGAUACAUAUCUUUUUAAGGAAAUUACCUAUAUUUUUACUAUCUAGAAGAUACGAUAAGAAUAAAAAAAUAUCACCAAAUGAAUACAAUCAAUGAUUGUAUCAUUGAUACGAAGGGUAUCCACAAGUAUGAAUGAGAGCGGAUUUGUGAAGAUAACCCCACCCCAUUUGAUGAGUAGCACCAAGACCAACUGCGUAAACUCCUUCAGGAGUUGCGUAACGUUAGUAGUUGCGUUAAUUGAUUCUGCAAUCAUAGAAAUAUUAGAUUUUUUUAUUAUGUGCAUUCUUACAGUAAAAAAUGCAAGCAAAGUCUCAUAUUCCAAGAAUUCUAUUUCCGUUCUAAAAGAAAAUAGUUCUAGCCCGUGAUUGAAUAGAACUACAAUUCGACCAAGUUGUAGAAUAUUCAAUAUCCGCUGGAUCCUCUUCUUUAUCUAUGGGAUGAGUAACAUUUGGCCCUUAAUAUCCAAAGGGCUUAUAUUCCUAAGCCCUUCAAUUUAUGACUGACAUUACUCCACCUGCAAUGCUAUUGGAAGUGCACCAUAGAGGUGCUUCAAAGCUCCUCUUCUUAUGAAACUUCCAUUACUAGGAUGAUCUACAGGGACAGAAUGCCCAAACGAACUGGAGAACAAAAAAACUUAUAAAAAAAGGAUAAGUUUAAUAAUAAUGUUAAAUGUCCUUCCUCUUGAAGCGGGAUCAACGUGCUUUAGUUAUAAAGCACGCUGUAGAAACGAAAGCCAUUAAUUUGCUUAAUACUCGAAUUCAAAUGAGUUUCGCAUGAUCCACGUGCCCCAAAUUGAAUAAAAUAUUGAUAUAGAGUUCCGGCCUAUCAGAAAACAUAAAUGAAUAAUCCUUUUUCUGUCCCGUGUAAGAAAUCAAAGGGGUUGUUCAGUCGGCUAAACAGUUCUAGAAAAACUGGGAGGAGUAGAAUCCUUUUACUCGCCUCCCUUCGGUAAAAUAGUAUUGCUACGUUGGCAAAAAGCCAGCUAUACUGGUUCAGUAUACUUUCAAUAUACCUUUGGUAUAAUAUUGACAAUCAAACGAGGAUUAGAGAAAAUAUCAGUAAUUUUCCAUUUCCUGAUCUCUAUCUUUCAUGGGGUCAAUUCCCCUUUGACUUUCCAAUAAUAUAUGGAGCUUAGCAUGUCUGGGAAUACGGGAGAACGCGCUUUUGCUGACAUUAUUACCAGUAUUCGAUAUUGGGUUAUCCAUAGUAUUACUAUACCUUCGCUAUUCAUAGCGGGGUGGUUAUUUGUAAGCACGGGGUUGGCUUAUGAUGUAUUCGGGAGCCCCCGGCCGAAUGAGUAUUUCACAGAAAGCCGACAAGAGGUUCCAUUAGUCACUGACCGUUUCGAUUCAUUAGAACAACUCGAUGAGUUUACUAGAUCUUUUUAGGAGGUACUAAUGACUAUAGAUAGAACCUAUCCAAUUUUUACAGUUAGAUGGUUGGCCGUUCACGGACUAGCUGUACCUACAGUUUUUUUCUUAGGGUCAAUAUCAGCAAUGCAGUUCAUCCAGCGAUAAACUAUCUACUAUAUAUAAACUAUAUUACGGAGCUAUGACACAAUCAAACCCAAACGAACAAAAUGUUGAAUUGAAUCGUACCAGCCUCUACUGGGGGUUGUUACUCAUUUUUGUGCUUGCUGUUCUAUUCUCUAAUUAUAUUUUCAAUUAAAUAUAGUGAGAAUCUUCUCUAUUACCCAAUUUGGUGAGAUCUAAUACUAAUAUAUAUGUAUUAUUGUUUAUGUCUUGAGCAUGACUAUUUAAGACAAUUUGAUGUAAAAGGGAGUAAGAGAAAUGACCGAUACCACUGGAAGGAUCCCUCUUUGGUUGAUAGGUACUUUAACCGGUACUCUUGUUAUUGGUUUACUAGGUCUCUUCUUUUAUGGUUCCUAUUCCGGAUUAGGAUCAUCCCUAUAGAUAAUGAAUUUUAGUUCAUAUCUAUGGGAAAUACUCUACAUGCAAAAGUGAAAAUUAAAAAAGAAAGAUAAGACCUUACGGUACCGUAAGGUCUUAUCUUUCUUUUUUUUAAUAUCUUUGAGGCUUACAAUUUUGAGAUUCAUAAAAAUCCCACGAUUGUUUUAUUUCCUCCCAUUCUUUUAGUAAUGUGAUGAGACAUUAUAUUCUCAUGCUUCUGAUAUGCAGAAGCAUAGCAUUCCAUCGAUCUAGUUUGAAUGUCCCUCUUCAAACAAAUAUUAAUUGACAUAUUAUUCUGCUUGUCCAUUUCUGGAACAGAGAAUUACACAAUCCUUUUUAUGGAUGUAGAAUUACACCUUUUACGUUAUGGCCCAAGCUGAAAAAAUGUUUUGCUUUUAUUAGAAAAGCAACUAAAAGGAACGAGCCUUAUUCAAAUGUUUACUUUUUUUUUUCAAAUAGGUCCUUCCUCCCAUUUGCUCAAUCAACCCAACCAUAUUCGCUUUUACUCGCCUGCUCUUCCUUUUUCCCAAAAUUGAUCAAAAGUCAGUCAAAAACUGACUUUCUUUUAUUAAAGGAAUAGGAUGAGAAAUUAGAUCAGAAGGAGUAGUAAGCGCAGAGAUAUAUAUAGAUAUAUAUAUAUACGAAUCUAUUAUAUAUAGAUAUUCGAACAGAAGGAAAGAGCGAAUGAAUGCUCCCUAUCUUCGAAGAAGGAUUACUCUAAUAUAAAAAUUGUAUAUUAUUCGUAUUAUACAUAAGGUAUAGGUUCAAAUCUUUCGGUCAACUUAAGGGGUGGUAAUAGACACAUAAUUUUAUGUACCUAAAAAUUCAUCUCGGCCAAUUGAACUUUCUCAAACUGUUUUUUCUUAAGGACCAGAAAUAUCUGUGCCAAAAUGACAGAUGCUAGGAAGAAUAAAAGACCUUGAACGCGUAAAGGAUCUUGAAGCACUAGUUCUGCAUCUCCUUGACCAAAUCCACCCACAUUAGGGUUAUUCGUUAACGGCUGAUCAACCUUGAUCAAUUCCCCUUCUGAAACAAGAAGUUCCGGUCCCGGGGGUACAAUGUCAACCACUUGUCGACCGUCUAAUUGAUUAUCAAUAGUUAUUUCAUAUCCACCCUUUUGUUUACGUAAUAUUUUGCUCACUCUACCUGUUGCUGAAGCAUUAUAGACCGUAUUGUUGCUCUUGCUCCCAUCGGGAUAAAUUUGUCCUCUUCCUCUAUUACCACCCACAUAGAUGGGGUAUUUAAGAAAGUGAGCUAUUUUAUUAGUAGAAGGAUUUGGUGAAAGGAUGGGAAAGAGAAUUUCACUAUAUUUUUGACCGGGAACAGGACCUAUUACGAUAAUGUUUUUUUGAUUAGGACGAUAGUUCUGGAAAAAAAGAUUACCCAUUUUUUCUUUCAUCUCAGGAGAAAUACGAUCCAGAGGGGCUAAUUCGAACCCUUCGGGUAGAAUAAGAACAGCUCCUACAUUUAAAUUCCCUUUCUUACCGUUAGCAAGAACUUGUUUUAUUUGUGUAUCAUAAGGAAUUUUAACGACUGCUUCAAAUACAGUAUCGGGAAGCACAGACUGUGGAACUUCAAUUUCCACAGGUUUUUUAGCCAAAUGACAAUUGGCGCAUACAAUACGCCCAGUCGCUUCUCGAGGAUUUUCAUAACUUUGCUGUGCGAAAAUGGGAUAUGCAUUCGAAAUAGAUGCCCGAGUGAUUAUAUGUAUCAUGAUCAAGACCGAAAUGAAUCGAGUUAUCCACUUUUUAACUCGGUCGUAAUAAGUAUUUCUAUUUUGCAUGGUUCAAUUAUGGGCUCCAAUCCUUUUGUUUGAAAAUACAUAAGAGUAGGUAGCUAUCAUAGCUACCUGUAUGCAAUUUUGCUACUAGAUUAGUCAGUAGCGUCUUUCACACUGAACUAGAAAGGGAAUGAAAAAGGGACAAAUAUAAAAAACAAUUGAAUUGAACUGUUGUUAGAUGAACAAGUUCGUUAUUCAUUUAUUGAGUGAUAAAUUACUACAAGUGAAGGAGAUGUACGAUUAAGACGACGAAAGAUCCAAUAUUUGAAAAUCGUAUCCAAAAUGACUGGGAAAGUAGAAACAAGACCAGAUAUUAUUCGUUCAUUAUAGCCCAAUCCAUAAUUUUCGAAGAUCCAAUUGAUCAAAAGUUCCCAACCAUGGGGCGAAUGAAACCCGAUACAUAGAUCGGUUGCUAGAAGAAUAUAAAAAGCUUUGGUCGUAUCGCUUAAGCUAUAGAAUAAUUCUUGGAUCCAAGAAUUAAGAAUAGCAAGCUUAUUCUUACCCAGGAUAAGAUAAGCACUUAGAAUAACAAAACCUAUUAUAUUUGUUAAUAAGUGUAAGAUUAUUUGAAUACAAUCUUGAUUAUACAUUUUCACCAAUUCAAUCAUUUUUUUUUGAAUCUCUAUCCGAGGAUCUUGUGAAUCCGUUUCCAAAGAAUCUUCCACCAUUCUUUCUAACAUAAAAAGCUCCUCUAUUUUCUCAAAUCUCCCUAGAGUGCUUUCUUCUUGUAUAUAAUCAAAAAUUUUUUUAGAUUGAUUAGUAUUCCACCAAUUCGUAACCCAAGGUUCCAAGGCUUUCUGUAAUGAAAUUGAAAUUCCCCAAGGGAGUACUACUAGACCUGCAAGAUAUCGCAGAGAGGCUGAUGCUUUAUAUUUGGCCACUUCCAAUUCGCGAAUCGCUAACGAGCUAGAUUCACUUGUGAGCUCUGCGCGAAAUCUGAACAAGGUACGAGUUAUAGAACGAGGUAUGGGAUUCAUAGAUUGAUGUAUUGAGUAAUUCUUCGACUCCGAGAAAUACUAUGCUUCGGAUAAGCAACGAUUCAUUCCGAAUAAGAAGGAGAAUAGAAAUAGAGAUUGUUCCCAGCCGAAUCCAUAGUUUAAAAUCGCUUUGCUCUAGACUAAUUCUGUAUUCAUUAUUUUACUAUCAAUUUUUUCUCCGAAGACUUAAAGUUACAUAUAAGUCUUGCUUUUCCAAGUGAAAAAGGAGAUCAAUGUUUCCUAGCAAAAAAGAUCAUAGUUUGGGGAUAAGAUCCACCUAAAUAAAUUGAAAUAAAUAUAGAAUUCAUUUCGGGGUGAAUCCGGUUGGUAUAUUCGAUUCAAUUAUCCGAUUGAAGUAUGCAUUUGUAAAAAAAAAAUGCCUAAAAGGUACGAUAUAUAGUAUAUACAUAUGUGUAUUUUUUGAUACAUCGUAUCAGUCUACUGGCUCUAUUGGCUCCCUUCUAAAAAGAAGAGGAGCCAUGAGGUGUUUGGGAACUGCCGGGAAAUACUAAUCAGAUUUUCUAGGCACCCCCCUCCUUUUUUUCCUGAUCGUGAAAAUGAACUGCAUGUUCUUUCCCCCCCCCACCAACCUCUCAUUAAAACCUCUCCCUUUCGUAUAUACUCGAGGAUAUAUCGGUUUUUCUAUCGAGAACUAGAGAGAUAAAUAACCCACCUAAAAGCCUUCAAUAGAUACACGUAAAAAACGUGCUAAUUCGGCGGCUUUCUGCUCCAUUUCACGUAAGGUCAAAUUAUCUUCAGUACGAAUUAAGGGAAUUUCUUGUUGACCUUUUAUUUGCAUAUAAAUAACACGACGAGGAAAAAUACCUUCUUUCACUUCCAUUUUGAUCGCCCGAAUAUCUCUUAUAGGAAAUUGAAGUGAAAUACAACGAUUUCUCCCGGGGAAUCCCCAACGAAAAAGACAUACGACCCCUUCUUUUUUAUCAAACUUAUUGUAGCCACUACCCACAUUACACAGAAUUGUGCACCACAAAUAGGUGCUAAUGAAUAGACCUGCAAUACCAUAAAAACACAUUACAAUUCCUUGUGGAACAAAAAGUAUUUGCUGAGAUGACAAUAGGGGUAUCAGGUUCCUACCGAGAUAACUCGAAAUUCCGACUAAAAAAAAUCCUAGUGAACCUGAGAAGAGUAUACAAGCCCAAAAAAAAUUACUCAUUUUUCGAGACCCUCUUACGGAUUCUAUCAACAGCUGUUUUGAUCGACGAUUCAUAACAAAUUGUGUCCUAUUUCAUUUAAGGCAAUGGCCAAAUACUCCUUUGGAGUCCGAACUAAUUCUCAUAAUAAUAAGCUAGCUAUACACAUCUAAGCAUCUAGGCCGAGAAUAGAAUAUCUCGGCUAUCGUUCCCCUAUGGUUUUUCCGUGCUCUCCAUUUGGAACAUUGUAACUUAUCAAUCGAUUGUAAAAACGAUACUUUAUGGGAUUAAUCUAAUAUAAAUCUUUAUAUUAACAUAGAUAUUUAUCUAUAUUCGUGUUAGAUAAGAAACAUAUCCAUUCAUGGAUGGAUAUGGAUAGAUAUCCAUCCAGAUUCUAUCCAUAUAUUAUACCUCUGGCGUAUAUACCAGAUGGUACAUAUACAUCUAUUCAUCAUAUAUGAAUAGAUCUAUUAUCUAGAUGGAUAUCUAAAUAGAUCUAUUUCGUUCCUAUUUAGAACGAGCGUUUUAUGUUCUACUAAACGAUAAAGUAUAUCUUAGAUUGAAACCAAUUUAUGAAAUCUGGUUGGACUAGAUUCAUAGAAUCUCGUCUUUUUGGAUAUGGAAAUACAAGAAAGCCAUUGUAACUGCUGGGAAAAACAGGCCCACUAGAGGCACAAAAAUAGAGGGUAUGCUAUUUGCCAUAGAACGAGUACCUUACUGAAAUAUUUUACAUUAUUAAAAAUAAUGAUUAUAAGACCGAAUGAGCGAUAGGUCAAAACCAAAUAAGUGGUCCUGUCCUUCUUCAUAAACACAUCUAAAAAAUAUUGUUCCUUUUCGCAUGGAAUAAUUCUUUUGAAUUCCAAAAACUAUUUGAAACUCAACCCGGAAUCUUCUUUUGAUUGAUAUAGAAGUGUAAGAUUAUUCAUCUUAAGGACUGAAUAAAUAUCUAUAUAUAGGUCUAUUACAAUAACGCUUAUACAUAUUGAAAAAUCUUCUUUAUUAGUAAGAAGGAUUUCAAUCUUUUUCCUCCGAUUUUCAAAUUGCGUAAGAACUUAUAUUGCAUAUAAUUAGAGGAUCAAUACUUUUGAUGUAGAUCCGACUUUUCCUUUGUCGCGAACUUGUAUCAUAACAGAUGGUUUUGUUACAAAGAGCUCAAUCAACCAAUAUAAUAAUGGAUUGCUCCUUAUAAGCAAGAAAACUCUACGGCGUUGAAUCAACGAAACUUGUAAAGCUUCAGUAUAUCACGCAAAACACCUUUUAAAAUACUCCGUGGAACAAUUAGAUCAAAUAAACCAUGAUAAAAUAAAUACUCAGCCGUUUGGAAAUCAUCAUCUUCUAUUGUUAGAUUUAAUGUCUGCUCAAUCACUCUUCUACCAGCAAAUGCAAUGUACGCUUUAGGUUCAGCAAUAGUUAUAUUUGGCAACAUGCCGAAACUAGCAGUCACUCCACCUGUUGUCGGAGAAGUAAGAAUCGAUAUAUAGAACAACUUUUUCUUACGUUGAAAAAUAUUCAACGCAGAAGCUAUUUUGCCCAUCUGCAUUAAACUAAAACUUCCCUCUUGCAUGCGGGCUCCACCCGAAGCACACACCGUAAUCAAUGGAAGAGAUUUCUUGGUAGCAUACUCGAUCAGACGGGUCAUUUUCUCACCUACUACCGAGCCCAUACUACCCCCCAUGAAUUGAAAAUCCAUAACUCCAAUUGCGAUAGGAAUACCAUUUAAUUGACCUAUACCUGUUUGAAUAGCGUCGGUUAAACCUGUGUCUAUUUGAUAGGAAGUGAUAUGGUCCAUAUAAGGUUUUUCCUCCAUAUCAAGUUCCCUCUCUUCCUUUUUCCGCUCUUCACGAAGCUUCUUCUGCUUCCUCUUUUCACGAGAAAUCAUAUAAUGAAUCUUUUGGAUUUCAAGAGCAAGCUUUUUUUCUGGAGCUUGCUCCUCGCAAGGCAAAAUAUUAUACUCCUCCAAAAACUGUUCAGAAAAAGAAUCUUCAGGAACCUCCUCUUCAUCAACUUCCUCCUGAGGAAUCUGCUCAAAGGGUGAAGGUCCCUUCUGGGAAGAUGCAGCAAUGUUCUCACGAAGUGAACGAACCUCCUCAGGAAGUGAAGGGGCCUCCUUAGAAGGAAUCUCCUCUUCUGAUUCUUCAGAAAAAUCCUUUAACCACCAAUUUAACCACCGAAGAAACUCUUCUGAAGAUUCAGCUGAAACUGGAGUAUACUGUUCAAGAUACUUUUCCCAAGUCCGUAGGGACUUAGAGUCGUCCCAAAAUUGUUCAGAAAAAGGAUCUUCAGGAGCCUCCUCUUCAGUGUCUUCAGAAAAACUAUCUUUUAUUUCUGGAAAAGAAUUUAGAGAACAAGAAUCCAUCAAAGUAACUAUCUUUCCAUAUAAGAGGAUCCCUUGCAGUUCAUCUUUGAAAGAUUGAACUUCCAAAGAUUCUAGAUCUAUCUUCUCCAAAAUAGAUAUAUGCCGUUGAAAACAAUUUUGAGCAAAAUUCAUUAGUAUUUGUUUGAGAUAUCUACGGAAUACUCUUUUCAAUAUAUUGAAAAUAUUUUCCUUAUUAUUGUUUGGGGUCCGCUCUCGCAUCUCAUUAAAACUAUUUCUAAAGUUCUCUUCUAUAUAUUUGAUAUCUUGCGUCAAUUUUUCUAUAUAUUCGAUAUCUUGUAUCAGAUUUUCUGGAUAUUCGAUAUCUUGAAUCAAAUUUUGAUUAAUAGAAGGCCCCUCUUCUAUUAUCUCCUCGAAAAUUUCUUCUGUAAGUAGAAAUUCUUCAAUUUUUGGAAAAAAUUUCCAAAGCAAAAAAGAAUAAUAUAUACAGAAAUUCCAGCAAUAAUCUAUCGAAAUUUUCGAAUUUUUGCGGUUCAUCUGCCAAGGGAUCUCCAUCUUUUCUUCAGUUCGAUGAUUUUCAAACUCGGAAAAAACAUCUAUGGUACAUAUAUUUUCAUCCAUGGGAAACCAAGUGCCAGGAUCAACUAAAAGUUCAAUCCUAUCGGAACUACUCAUUUGCAUAGGAAAGCCGCAAUCUUGGCAAAUUGCCAUAUUUUGCCUCAAAUGCUUCCUAAAUUGCAUAUUGUAACAAUUAUCGCAUUGCGCCCAUAAUUGUCUCAAACGCUCAUUAUCAAUUAGCUGAGGCUGCUCAGUAUUUUCAUCUCCUUUCUUGACAAUAGCGAGGUGAUUCGCUUUCUCGGUCAAAUCCUCAAUUACUCGAUUAAUUCGACGUCGUUCUUCGUGCCAUUCUCUUAAAGUCAUGAUAUCUCCUUCAUCGUAUACAAUAUACGAAUACACUAAAUUUAUUCAUUUAAUUCAUAUGAAAGUGGAAUAGUAUAAAAUAGAGAAUCAGAAAAAAAAAUAUUGGAUUCAUUUGAAAGUAGAAUCAAAGUAACAUUCUGAAAAGGAGCUAUAUAUAUAUAUAUAUAUCAUGAGCUUCCAAAGGCAUUUUUAUUUUCAUUCUUUUUUUUUCCAAGGAAAAAAAUAGGUAAAUUUAGUUUUUACUCUUUCUUUCCUUUUCACCUUCUUCCCAAAAAGAAGAAGAAAAUAGCAAAUGAAAACGUAUUAAUUAUUCUUAAUCUUCUUAGAAUCAGAAGAAACAGACACAAGGAAACACUAGUUUCUUCAACGUCUCUCGCUUGUACUUCUCGCCCGCCAAAAGGGUCUUUUAUAUAAGACCCGUUCGUCGGUUCUCUUGCUAAACCGGGCAAACAUUCAAAGAUCUAUCCUACAUUGGUCUAUCCUAGAUUCAUUCGGCAAAAUGUCCCUAAAAUGGAUUUACCUCGAAUGAAGUUCAAUUAUUCGAUUUCUUAAAUAUUAUCAAAUAGGGUUCGGGCUAGAAGGGAUUUGAACCCUUGACUCCAAGGUCCGGAACCAUGUGCUCUGAUCCACUGAGCUACCAACCCCUACAAGGUAAAAAAGUAUGUACUUGAUUUACAUAUACGUAUAUACGUGUCUAUAUGAAGUGACACUUCAAAUUCGAGGAAAUUUAGUAAAUCUCAAUCUGGAUCGACAGGAUUAGAUUCUGUCAAUCCAAUGUAGAAUCCUUUGGUGAAUUAUGCCGCCAUUCCUAUAAUAAUAAUAUCUGAUUAUCGAAUCAGAUUCGUACAAAUAUGUGUUCGUGAUUCGGCCCAAUCUUUUACUAGAAAGAUUGGGCCGAGUUCGAUCCGAUUAGGAGAGCCAAUGCUGGAUUAUAAAGUAUCAAUCGUAUCAAAUAUAAAUACGAUUUCUUUCCAUACUUCACAAGCAGCAGCUAGUUCGGGACUCCAUUUACUAGCUUCACGGAUCACUUCAUUACCUUCACGAGCAAGAUCACGUCCCUCAUUACGAGCUUCUACACAAGCUUCUAAAGCAACCCGAUUGGCUACUGCACCAGGUGCAUUUCCCCAAGGGUGCCCCAAAGUUCCUCCACCAAACUGUAAUACAGAAUCAUCCCCAAAGAUCUCGGUCAGAGCAGGCAUAUGCCAAACAUGAAUACCCCCCGAAGCUACAGGCAGGACACCUGGCAUAGAUACCCAAUCUUGAGUGAAAUAAAUACCGCGACUUCGGUCUUUUUCAAUAAAAUCCUCACGUAGCAGAUCCACAAAACCCAAAGUUACUUCUCGUUCUCCUUCGAGUUUACCUACUACAGUACCGGCGUGAAUAUGAUCUCCCCCAGACAUACGCAACGCUUUCGCUAGUACACGAAAGUGCAUACCGUGAUUUUUUUGUCUAUCAAGAACUGCAUGCAUUGCGCGGUGAAUGUGAAGAAGUAGGCCGUUGUCUCGGCAAUAAUGAGCCAACGAAGUAUUUGCAGUAAACCCCCCCGUCAGAUAGUCAUGCAUAACGAUAGGAACUCCCAAUUCUCUAGCGAAUACCGCUCUUUUUAUCAUUUCUUCACAUGUACCUGCAGUAGCAUUCAGGUAAUGCCCCUUAAUUUCACCCGUUUCAGCCUGAGCUUUAAAAAGUGCUUCAGCGCAAAAGCAAAAACGAUCUCUCCAGCGCAUAAAUGGUUGGGAAUUUACGUUCUCAUCAUCUUUCGUGAAAUCAAGUCCACCACGAAGACAUUCGUAAACUGCUCUACCAUAAUUCUUGGCAGACAGCCCCAAUUUUGGUUUGAUAGUACAUCCCAAUAGGGGGCGGCCAUAUUUAUUUAAUUUAUCUCUUUCCACCUGGAUACCAUGGGGUGGACCCAUGAAAGUUUUGGAAUAAGCAGGAGGAAUUCGCAGAUCUUCCAGACGUAUAGCCCGUAGGGCUUUGAAUCCAAAAACAUUACCUACAAUAGAGGUGAACAGGUUAGUAACCGAACCUUCUUCAAAAAGGUCUAAGGGAUAAGCCACAUAGGCAAUAAAUUGAGUUUCCUCUCCAGGAACAGGUUCGAUGCCAUAGCAUCGCCCCUUGUAACGAUCGAGGCUGGUAAGUCCAUCGGUCCAAACAGUAGUCCAUGUACCAGUGGAAGAUUCGGCAGCUACUGCCGCUCCUGCUUCCUCGGCAGGCACUCCGGGUUGAGGAGUGACUCGGAAUGCCGCCAAGAUAUCAGUAUCUUUGGUCUGAUAUUCCGGAGUAUAAUAAGUUAAUCUGUAAUCUUUAACACCAGCUUUGAACCCAGCACUUGCUUUAGUCUCUGUUUUUGGUGACAUAAAAAAGUCCCUCCCUAUGAUUGAUUAAUCACUCUUACAACGACGGGGUCUGCUCGACCUGGGUCAAACGUAACGUAAAUAAUUCAUUUACGUCAAUCGAUUAUAAAACACUUAAGUUAUCCGUAAUUGGACAAUAAAACUUGUCCGGAUACAUUAUUGUAUAGUGUUCUGUAUGUAUAACGCAACCCAGAAAUUGACUUUGUUUCACGAUUGACCCGAGGAUCUUUUAGCUGUGAAAUUAGUCCAUGAAUUAAAAAAAAACAAAUUGAUUAUUUAUCAUAGUGUGUGGUAAUGUGAAUUAAUUAUACGGGUGAUAAAUAUAUCUAAAACAGCGGAGAAAGAAGACGAGAAGAGGAACGGGGGGGGAGAGAGACAAAAACAACCAACGAGAGAGAGAAAGGUUAUGAAUAGAAUUCCAGUUCUAUAUCUUACAGAGGAUCUAGGCAUAAGGUUAAAUAUUUCUAUUUCCAGACAAACCGAACACUUUCUCAUAAUUCUUAUUAAUCUACUUCAAUAUUAGUAGAAUAUGAAAUGUAUUAAUUAGGAGACGAAAUAGCCUCAAUAGCUUCUAAUCGUGUUCUAGCUCUUUUGAGAGCUACAUCAGCCUCAAUUGCUUGUCUCUUACCUCGAGCUCGAGCAAGGUCUGCUUUAGCUAUACGAAAAUCUUCCCGAGCCUCUUGAAGAUCAAUGUCAAUACCUCUUUCUGCAUUAUUUACCAAUACAGUGACAUUAUUAUCAUCUAUCUUGGCGAAUCCACCCAUCAAUGCCAUAGUGGACCACUGUGCAUCGAGACGUAUUUUCAUAACCCCAAUAUCCAAAGCUGUAACAAGUGAAGCAUGAUUUGUUAAUACACCAAUUUGACCGCUAUUGGUAGAUAGUAUAAUUUCUUUAACUUCUGAAUCCCAAACAACUCGAUUAGGAGUCAGCACACGAAGAUUUAGGGUCAUUUGACAAAUUAAUUUUCCACUUUGAAGUUCAUAGCUUUCGCGGUAGCUUCAUCGAUGUUACCCACCAAAUAAAAAGACUGUUCAGGGAGACCAUCUAAUUCUCCCGAAAGAAUCAUUUGAAACCCCCUAAUUGUUUCGAUAAGACUAACAUAUUUACCUGGAGAACCAGUGAAUACCUCUGCUACGAAAAAGGGUUGUGACAAGAAACGUUCAAUUUUUCUUGCUCUUGCUACGGUUAAACGAUCCUCUUCUGAUAAUUCGUCCAGCCCAAGAAUAGCUAUAAUGUCUUGAAGUUCCUUAUAACGUUGCAAGGUUUGUUUAACUCCUUGUGCAGUUUCAUAAUGUUCCUCGCCCACGAUCGAAGGUUGGAGCAUAGUCGAUGUUGAAUCUAAAGGAUCGACCGCUGGAUAGAUGCCCUUGGAAGCUAAUCCUCUCGACAAUACGGUAGUAGCAUCCAAAUGUGCAAAUGUUGUAGCAGGAGCAGGAUCGGUCAAGUCGUCCGCAGGUACAUAAACUGCUUGAAUGGAGGUUAUAGAUCCCUCUUUGGUAGAGGUGAUUCUCUCUUGCAAACACCCCAUUUCCGUGCCAAGAGUCGGCUGAUAGCCCACAGCGGAAGGCAUUCUGCCUAAUAGGGCGGAUACCUCUGAUCCUGCUUGGACAAAGCGGAAGAUAUUGUCAAUGAAUAAGAGGACGUCUUGCUUAUUGACAUCUCGGAAAUAUUCCGCCAUGGUUAGGGCAGUUAAACCGACUCUCAUACGAGCUCCUGGUGGUUCAUUCAUCUGCCCAUAGACCAGAGCUACUUUGGAUUCUGAUAUAUUUUGUUCCCUAAUGACUCCCGAUUCUUUCAUUUCCAUAUAAAGAUCAUUUCCUUCGCGGGUACGUUCUCCCACCCCACUAAAUACAGAUACGCCUCCAUGAGCCUUAGCAAUGUUGUUGAUUAACUCCAUAAUCAGUACUGUUUUACCCACGCCAGCCCCCCCGAAUAGCCCGAUUUUACCCCCACGGCGGUAAGGAGCUAAAAGAUCCACUACUUUAAUACCUGUUUCAAAGAUUGAAAAUUUGGUAUCUAACUGCGUAAAGGCGGGAGCAGGUCUAUGAAUAGGAGACCUUGUGCUAGCAUCUACAGGACCUAAAUCGUCAACAGGUUCUCCAAGAACAUUAAAAAUUCGUCCAAGAGUAGUUCCACCAACCGGAACACUAAGAGGAGCCCCCGUAUCAAUAACUCUCAUUCCUCUCAUCAAACCAUCUGUAGCACUCAUAGCUACAGCUCGAACCUUAUUAUUUCCUAAUAAUUGUUGUACCUCACAAGUAACUUGAAUUAGUUGACCUAUUGUAUUUUGGUCCUUCACUAUUAAAGAAUUGUAAAUAUAAGGCAUACUAUCUGGAGGAAAAGAUACAUCCAGUACAGGGCCGAUGAUCUGAGAAAUACGGCCUACAUUUUUUUCUACAAGUGUGGAAAUUCCAAGAACAAAAGGAUUGGUUCUCAUAAAAAAAAAAAGAGAUUUAUUCUAAUUGUUUGCUGAUACUAUUAAACAAACAAAAAUGUGGUGUAUCAAGUUGAUGAGUCAAUCAUGAUUGAGAGCUACCACUUCGAUUUACUUAGUAAUAUCUUUGAUAGUUCAACUUCAAUAAUAAUCUGAAAAUGGAUUCCUUAUUCCCAUGAAAUAAAAAUUUAUUUCGAAAUAAAAAGUAGAAAAACUUCUUAGGUGCCAUUGAGUCCGGCAUCCAAGAAGUUUUACCUACUAUUGGAUUUGAACCAAUGACUCUCGCCGUAUGAAAGCGAUACUCUAACCACUGAGUUAAGUGGGUCUUUUAUCAUCAUAGGUAUUUAAUUGGACUUAUAACCCAUUUUAAAUGGAAUUCAACCCAUAAACAAUAUGCCCCUAACUAAAUAAUAUUAGAUCAUGAAAUAUCUUACCUUGACAGAUAGUCAUCUGUUUGGUUAGUAUAAUAUAUCAUCAGGAUUGGCAAGGGCUAUAGCUCAGCAAGGUAGAGCACCUCGUUUACACGUGCGCCAAUGGUUUUCAGGAGAGUUUAUCGGUUUAUCCGAUCUAAAAAUAGAUCUUAUGUGAAAUAGUCUUACUCUAUGAAUUAAGAGAACAAUAGCAUGACAAAAAAUUCGAAUCAAUUUGAUUAGAAUUCUAGAUCUAAUUGAUAUGGUCAAUCUCAGGGCUAUUCAAUGCCAGGCAUAAUGAGUAUAAUAUGGGGACCUCAAAAUAAAAUCUUUUCGCUUUAUGAACUUUGAGGUGUAAGAAGUCUCAUAUUACUUUUCAUUUUCGAAGCGAUAGAGACUCCUUUUGAGUUGAUCUAUGUCUGAGCAAGGCAGACCUACGUCAAGGGAACCUUUUGAGUCACUUUGGGAUUGCUUUUGGGAAAAAAUCCCAUCUGGAGCAUACGGAGCCAUCUUAUUUUCUUCCUAGAAAGAGGAGAAUGGCAGACUAACUGAUCAAUCCAUCAGUUAGUGACAGAGCCCAAUGCAAUAAAAAUGCAUGUUGGGUUCUUAGAACAGUUCAAUUCAUGUUGAUAAUAAAAACUUUGAUCUGUUUCACCGAGAAGGUCUACGGUUCGAGCCCGUAUAGCCCUAUACGCUGGACUAAGUUCUGGUACUCUUAAUAUUCCCUCAAUUUACUAUUGUUUCUAUGACCCGAUCCUAACCAAACCUGGGUCAGAUCGUAUCAACUAUUCUCCUGUGCCUAUGAAGAUUAAUAGAGACGCGGGAACAAGGCAGAUCGAUCAAAUUUCAUUGAUCGAAAUCAAAUUGAUACCGUAUGAUUGGGCUUAUGUAUUGUGCAUUAUUUAAAUGCAUUUUCUUCAACAAAAAAGAUAGAUCUUUGGAUUUAUCCCACCUACCUGCCGGAACAGAGUAAUAGAGGAAUUCAUUCCUCUAACUUUUGAUAAAACCAAAGUGUUGUAACUUAGACUAUAACAAACGAAUCGUUAUUCGUUACAAACAAAAACUUGUUGUUUAAUAUUUGUUUUGUUCUGAGAAAUGAUCCAUUAGGUAACAUAAUAUAUCUAACCGAUUGAAAAAAAAGCUUCGUUGAAGGAAUGCCCUCUGUUUCACGCAAUCCAUACGUCCAGUCACUGUUGAUAACAGGAUCAAUCAGAUAUGGAGCUGUGAGCUCCAAACAUACUCAUUCUUUCAUGGGUUUACGCACAUAUUUUUAAUACCCGGCUGAAAAGGGUCAAUUUUAUACAAAUGUUGAUCCUGGCUAAACAGGAACCUUCGGUUCGUGCUCUUGCUAACCCUAAGAUCAUAUCAUGUUAGUUAUGAUAGUUAUCGGGAAAACACAUUCAUGUUUAAAACAACUCUUUCCCAGAGAAUUUGAUCUAUUUCACAGGAGUUUUUUUAUGUUUCUAUUUUCCGAAUAUGAACCUUUUUGGAUAUUUCUAUCAAUAUCCAGCUUUAUUCCUAUUAUAGCAUUCUCAAUUUCAGGAGCUUUGGCUCCUAUCAGUAAAGGACCAGAGAAGCCCACUAGUUACGAAUCUGGUAUAGAACCCAUGGGGGAUACUUGGAUCCAAUUUAGGAUUCGUUAUUAUAUGUUCGCUUUAGUGUUCGUUGUGUUUGAUGUUGAAACAGUGUUCCUAUAUCCGUGGGCUAUGAGUUUUGAUAUUGUGGGUCUAUCCGCAUUGAUAGAAGUUUUUAUUUUCGUGCUUAUCUUAAUUGUUGGUUUAGUUUAUGCAUGGCGAAAAGGAGCAUUAGAAUGGUUUUAGCUUACAAGUCUCUGGGCGGUGGAAGAGAAGUACAAGAUUCCAUAAAGUCAGUAAUAAACCCUAUAGAAUCACCUCUACUUGAUCGAACAACUCGAAAUUCGGUGAUUUCAACUACCGUAAAUGAUCUGUCAAAUUGGGCCAGACUCUCCAGUUUAUGGCCGUUACUUUACGGUACUAGUUGUUGCUUCAUUGAAUUCGCUUCAUUAAUAGGUUCACGAUUCGAUUUCGAUCGUUAUGGUCUGGUACCAAGAUCCAGUCCUAGACAAGCUGACCUCAUUAUAACAGCUGGCACUGUGACAAUGAAAAUGGCUCCUUCUUUGGUAAGAUUAUACGAGCAAAUGCCCGAACCAAAAUAUGUCAUUGCUAUGGGAGCCUGUACUAUUACAGGAGGAAUGUUUAGUACAGAUUCUUAUAGCACCGUCCGCGGAGUGGAUAAGUUAAUUCCGGUAGAUGUCUAUUUGCCGGGUUGCCCGCCUAAACCAGAGGCUAUUAUAGAUGCUAUAAUAAAACUUCGUGAAAAGAUAGCUCGAGAAAUAUAUGAAGAUAGGAUUGAGCCUCAACAAGGAAAGAGAUUUUUCACUCUAAAUCAUGGGUUUGAUGUUGUACCCAGUAUGAAUACUGAAAAUAAAGAACAAAAGUUUUUACAUGAAUUUACCGAACCUCCAAUUGAAUCGACUUUCCAGAUAUUCUCCGAAAUGCCCGAAUCUAUUUCAGGGAUACCCCUUGAAAAAUAAAGAAUUGGGGAAUAAAAAAAUCUUUAGUGAAAAGUAACGAAUAGGAAAUCCAAUUUUCUGCAAUUGCAUUACAAAUGUUAACCCCCUAUACAAAUACCUUGACAAAAAGUGCGGAUAAAAUCCGGGGUCGAUUAUCUGCUUGGUUAGCCAAGCAUAAGUUAGCUCAUAGACCUUUGGGUUUCGAUUAUCAAGCCACAGAAACGCUACAGAUAAAAUCUGAGGAUUGGGCUUCUAUAGCCAUCGCUUUAUAUGUUUAUGGCUUUAACUAUCUCCGUUCCCAGUGUGCCUAUGAUGUAGCACCAGGGGGCUUAUUGGCUAGUGUAUAUCAUCUUACAAAAAUAGAUGAUAAUGCAGAUCAACCCGAAGAGGUCUGUAUAAAAGUUUUUGUACCAAGGGAAGAUCCCAGAAUCCCGUCUGUUCUCCGUAUUUGGAAAGGUGCUAAUUGGCAAGAACGAGAAUCUUAUGAUAUGUUGGGAAUCUUUUAUGAAAGUCAUCUAUGUCUCAAACGUAUAUUGAUGCCUGAGAGUUGGAUUGGUUGGCCUUUACGCAAAGACUAUAUUGCACCUGAUUUUUAUGAGAUACAAGAUUCUCAUUGAAUAAGAUAAAAGUAAAUAACUUUUACUUUUGCAAAGUUUUAGAUCUAUAACUUUGCAGCAUCUAUUUCAGAUGCAAUGGAAUAGAAAGGACCACAAACAAAGUUUGGUACAUGUGUAUUCUCACACAUUCAUCCGUAUAUCGAGAUGGAUGGGUGAAAAAAAUCUUUUCUUGGUGCACCAUAAUUGAUGUACAGCGAGCACGCUGAAUGAUGUACCACGAGCACGUUAUUUACGAAAACGAAAUAUUCAAUUUUACUUUUACUAAUUUUAGUUUAUAAUAGAUUCACUCUAUUCCCACCCUCAAAUCUUUCCAUACUUAUGAGUUUUUACUGAUAUAUAUGUACAAGGUAUCCAGUUCAAAUUUGAAUAAAGAAGGGAAACAGAAACAGGGAAGGAGAUAACGGAACAUAUUUCAUACUACCUUGUAUGAUAGGCACGGAUACAUAUAUCCGUACAUAUGCAUAUAUCCAUAUCUAGAUAUGAUGGAUCGUUUUUUAUCCAUAUAAAUGAGUCUGCAUGCCAGGAACCAGAUUUGAACUGGUGGCACGAGGAUUUUCAGUCCUCUGCUCUACCAACUGAGCUAUCCCGGCUCUUCUUUGUGCAUCAUCCUAGUGUAAACCCUGAACUUGUGUCAACUAAUCCCCCCUUUGAAAAGGGUUCAUUUUACAUCGGUAAGUCACUAAGGACUGCGAACGAAUGGGAUUCAUUGCAAUUCGCCACCAAUAUAUGAUCUAUAUAUAUAUUAUAUAAUCUAUAUAUAGAUCAUAUAGAUAUAUAUAUAUCUAUGAUCAACUUGUUGUAAUGUCUAAUUAUUCGUGUUUCUACUUUCUCCAAAGUAGUGGAAUGAUAGAUAACAAGAAUUAAUAUCUAAAAGAUAGUGGGAAUUUUAACUUCUCGACAGAAUUAGCAAAAAAAAAAAAACAAGGAUAAAUCAGUAUUUUGUAAAUGAACCUGGGAAUAGAGGGACUUGAACCCUCAAGGUCUAAAAAAACCGACGGAUUUUCUUUCUACUGCAAUUUACAUUGUUGUUACUGGCAUUGACAUGUAGAAUUGGACUCUAUCUUUAUUCUCGUCCAAUCAUUUAUUCCAAAAACUGAGUGGACUCUCUUUCUAGAGAAGAGCCUAAAUUGAUUUUAGUUAAUAGUUCUUUGAACUAAGUUUCGAUUGAUUGAGUUUUGAGUGAUUGAUGGUAUCAAUCACUUCUAUUUUUUUUAAGCAUAAAUAGAGAGAAUUUUAUCUAGAUAAAGUAUUGGAUCAAAUGAUUUUGAUUCGUUAGAAAAGCUUCCAUCGAGUCUCUGCACCUAUCCCUUUCUAGGAGGAAAACUUUUGUUCCUAGAAACCAGAUUUGGCUCAGGAUUGCCCAUUCAAAAUAUCCUAGGGUUCCCUGGAUUUGGAAGCUAUCACUUAGUACGUUUCCAUACCAAGGCUCAAUUCGAUCAAGUCCGUAGCGUCUACCAAUUCCGCCAUAUCCCCGUUCUCGGAAAACGAGAUGAAAUUGUAAUCUAUUUCAUUCUACUAUUUCAUUUAUAGAAGGGUAAUGAAUUAGAUAUUAAUCUAAUGGGUGGCAUAAAUGUGCCUUUUUACUCCCCUCUCUCUCGCCAUCUCUACUUUCUCGCUGAGAAUAAGUAUAUUGUUUCUGUAUUUUAGAUGCAAUGUGGUUAUUUACUAUUUUCUAAUUAGAAAUAGUGAAACGAUCACUAUGGGUUGACUUCUUGUUCUUUUUCUCCCUUUUGAAAAAGAGAAAUUAAAGCAAUCUUUAAUUGUAAUCUGGAUUGCGCUAUUGAAUCUAGAAUCGCUAUAAUUGUUAAGAUCCCAAAGAAAUUAUGGAUGGUGCACCAAUGAGUAUUGGGUUAUAUUUCCCAUUAAUGCCUGCUUAGCUCAGAGGUUAGAGCAUCGCACUUGUAAUGCGAUGGUCAUCGGUUCGAUCCCGAUAGCUGGCUCUUUUACGUUUUCUCGUUGGUUUCCCUAUAACCAACAAUAUUUCGUUAGGACCAAAAAAUAUGGAGAAAACUCUUUAUCUUUCAAUCGUAGGUCCACCAAGUAAGUUUCCACUAGUUAAGGGGAUUAAUUAUUGGAGAAAUCCAAAAGGAUUUGCUCCGAUCCAAACAAAUUUGGAAACAUUUUGUUCUUUGUAUAAAAUCAUUCAAGUAUUCGUACGAUUUAUACUAUUCCUCUUUCCAGCACUAUUUUUUCUUUUCAUUUCGCUAAGGAGUUUUUUUAUGUCCCGUUAUCGAGGACCUCGUAUAAAACUAAUACGUCGUCUGAACAAUUUACCAGGGCUUACCAAAUAUAGAAGAGUUGAUCGUGAGAAAGAGAAAAAAUCUCGAUAUCGUAUCCGCCUAGAAGAAAAACAAAAAGUGCGUUUUCAUUACGGUCUGACAGACCGACAAUUACUUCAAUAUGUUCGUAUUGCUAGAAGAGCCAAAGGCUCCACGGGCCAGGUCCUAUUGCAAUUACUUGAAAUGCGUUUGGAUAAUAUUCUUUUUCGAUUGGGUAUGGCUCUCACCAUUCCUGGCGCCAGACAAUUGGUCAACCAUAGACAUAUUCUGGUCAAUGGCCGUAUGGUAGAUAUACCGAGUUAUCGUUGCAACCCCAAAGAUGUGAUUACUAUAAAAGAUCGACAAAGAUCGAGGAAUAUCAUUAAUAAAAAUAUAGAUCUGUCCAAAAAACAUCAAGAAAGAUCUAGACUGAUCUCUAAGAGGAUCAUUAAUCGGAAAUUUAUUCUCUUUUUCCGAUUUAAAAAGUAUUUUAUGAAACAUACAGUGCCUUUUCAUUUGACUCUUGAUUCGUCACGAUAUAAAGGAGUAGUUAAUCGAAUAAUAGAUAGUACAGGGAUUGGGUUGAACAUUAAUGAAUUGUUGGUCAUAGAGUAUUUUUCCCGUCGAGCCUAAAGUGAAAAUGAAGGAUUUUUGGAUAUCUAGGCAAUUACGCCCUUCUCCCUUCUCCCUUCUCCCUUCUCCCUUCUCUCUCUACUCUCCCAAAGUAGGCAAAUAGAUAGAUUUGUUUCGUUAUUUUUUAAAUCAAUAUUCUAAAUUCAUUCUGUAGGUUAUAUUAGAAUUUUGUUAUUCAUGAUACAUUUAUUGUCCCCCCCCUUUUUCUUUCAAUAUUUCUUUACUUUCCCAUACCACUGUUUAUUUUCUUCCACCAUUUGCUCUAUACCAGGAUAGAACGGGAGUUGCGGGACAAUGAACCAAUUGGAUUCAACAGAUCGGGAAAAUAAUGGAAAAGAGAAUAAGGUAAAGAUACGGAAAGAGAGGGAUUCGAACCCUCGGUAAACGUAAGCCUACAUAGCAGUUCCAAUGCUACGCCUUGAACCACUCGGCCAUCUUUCCUAUGAGAUUUUAUCUCUUGGGUAUAAUCAAUCAAAAUUCAAUUCAAGUAGUGGAUAGCAAAUUCUUUAUGCUAUUUGUGCAUAUAUGCACAAACUUCUGCGGGAAUAGAGUAUUUUUUCAAUCCCCGAAAAGACAAAAGGACAUUUUUCCACACUUCCUCCUAUUUUGGGAAAUCCUACUUUUUAUUUCUCAAUCUGUCGAUCUUAUCUUAGUCGGAUUUAUUAUAUGAUAAAAUGGGUAAAUUGAUAUAAAUCCACUAAUCCAUUCCAUAUGAUGAAUGAUAUAAUCAUCAUGAUUCUUUAUCAUCAUUGUGUCUGGCUAAGAAUCGAUUGGCAAUGAUCCGUCGUGCAAAUUCUAUCAUAAUGACCUUAUUUUUUUUUAUCUACAUUCUUUUAUUUAUGUAUGUGAAUACAUACACACUUUAAUUCUCAUUAUACAAUGUUUCGUUCGGAUUAGAACUAAAUGAGGAUGGAACUUGGUUCUACAUAAACCCUGUAUAAAAAAGGGUUUUUUAAUAGGGAAUUCUCUAUUGUCCAUCCGUCAAUAGAAUGAACAUACUUUCCGGAAAUUUCCUAUUUAUUCCUAUUCAGGAAUAAAUGAAUUCGAAAUUUGUAUAUAUUUACGAUUGUAAAAUCGAUCUAUUUUUUUUAUGGUAUUGUGUACCGGAAAAUAAUUUUGUUUAUGGGAUCAUUUCCAUAUGGGGAAUGAAGGAAAUUUUUCAAUCUCUAAUUGACUAUGCCUAGAUCUCAGAAAAAUGACAAUUUUAUCGAUAAGACGUUUACAAUUGUAGCGGAUAUAUUAUUGCAAAUAAUUCCGAUGGCUUCAGGGGAAAAAGAGGCAUUUACUUAUUAUAGAGAUGGUGUGAUUUGAACCAUUUUCUCUUUUUUUUAUCCUUUUGCAAAAGGGGAUUCAAGAUAUUGAGUCAAACAAAACUUACGCUUAGUGAAGGUGACUUUUAGACAUAGAACAAUCCCUUCUGUCGUGUAUCCCCGAUUGAUGCAGCCUUAGAUGCUUUGAUCCUCUGAGAUUCUGGUAUCAAGCGAAAGGUUACACCUAUGUGAUAGACCUUAACGGUCAAACCUAUCGUAUAGGCACGCAUAGAGGAAAAAGCACUACGUGUGGUAAUCGACAACACAAACGCUUCGUUAUUAUACACAUACCCCCCCCCCUUUUUUUCUUUUAAGGGGCUAAUAGAAAUGGUUGGGACAACAAACACCCAUCUCGUUUGUACUUCGGAUACCAAUAUCAUAGAACCAUCGGAGAUUGUUGAAGUGACUAAUCCCCAGAAAAUACGCUGCGUUAAGAACAAAGAAAUUGUUAGAGGUUCUAUUUGUAGUGCUAAGAUCUUUGGUGUUAAGAAAAGAAUCUUUGCAAGAAGGAUGGCUAGAGAUUUAUCGCCAAUACACUAGCCCCUAUCAAUUCAUAAUAUAGGGUAAUAAUCUUUUCCAAUUUCACGGAUUACUUCCCUCAAUAUGUAAAAAAAGGAGGAGCCGUAUGAGGUGAGAAUCUCAUGUACGGUUUUGAAGCGGAGAUCAUUUCGAUUGAAUGAACGACCGUCACGGAUGUCAGCUCAAUCCGAAGGGGAAUAUGCGGAAGCUUUACAAAAUUAUUAUGAAGCUAUGCGACCGGAAAUUGAUCCUUAUGAUCGAAGUUAUAUACUCUAUAAUAUAGGUCUUAUCCACACGAGUAAUGGGGAGCAUACCAAGGCUUUGGAAUAUUAUUUCCAGGCAUUGGAACGAAACCCAUCUUUACCACAAGCUCUUAAUAAUACGGCCUUGAUCUGUCAUUACGUGCGGCUAUCUGUACUAUAGAAUGAAUUCGUUUAGAACUACUACGGAGAACGGCAGAAGAAGAGGCUUUCUACAUAUGCACCGUCCAAAGUCACGGGGUUUAUCAGCUGUGGGAAAAAACAACAUUCCUCAUAGGAGCCCAAAUAGGAAUGGAUAAAUAGAGCCUCCAUAUUCCAUGGAUAAAAUCAUUCAAUUGAUUGGGAAAGCACCAUAAAGAUCAAUUAUUGAAAGUUUGGGCUGAUACGAUCAAAUCUGCUCAUUGACAAAAAUAAGGAAUCAACUUAUGUAAUAAAGUAGAUUUACUAAGCUAUUGAGCAGCGGUGUAGCAUCAGAUCCUAAAGAUGUAAAGUACUCACCUACCAGUUAGAGACGGAAAGUACUCUUAAAAUUUUCUAUACAGAAGUGAGAUAGUUACCUCUCAAAAAGACUUCUAUUCGGAUAAUCUGAAGUAGAUAUCUUUGUUUAUAUACUUCAUCUUUGUGGGGGUGGGAGAAAAGAGAAAACCUGAUUAUUGAUUGAAAGUGAGGUUUGAAACUCAUGUCAUUGACCCUUUCUGGUCCUUUGGUUAACUCUAACCCAUUGCCAACGAAUUAUCUGCUAUUUUUUCAUUUUGGGUAAAGGACUACAGAACAGAAUAGUGAAUUGAGCCGUAUGAGGUAGGAAACUCUCAAGUACGGUUCUAUAGGAGGAAGACUUUUCUAAGUUGACCUAUCCCGACCGAGGAGAACAGGCCAUUCGACAGGGAGAUCCUGAAAUCGCGGAGGCUUGGUUCGAUCAAGCUGCUGAGUAUUGGAAACAAGCUAUAGCGCUUGCCCCAAGCAACUACAUCGAAGCACAAAAUUGGUUAAAGAUUACGGGGCGCUUUGGAGAAUGAUAAUCUCUGGUAUGAUAAUACCAGAUAAAUCGUUGGGAUUAUUUCGGAAGAAACCAAUGGAAUUAUUUCUUAAUAAUUUAUCGAAUUAGUUCUCCAACUGCAUUGGCUUCUCAUAUCCUUGGAAUAUAUUGACAAUAUAACAAGGAAUACCUUUUGUGGAUCAUUAAUGAGAGAGAUCUUUUGAAUAGGGCCAAAUCCAUCCGGGGAUGUCUUUUAUUAAUGAUCCAUGAAUAAUUCAAAGUUAUCGUGAUUCAUAAAUGUGAUCUGCAGGGGCCGAUAUAUAUGGGUAAAUAUACCUCAAUAUUAAUAUAAUAAUAAUCAUUACAACAAUAAAUAGGUUUUUACGUUAGGCCAAAUGAUAAACGUUUUUACAAACCCAUAAUGGUCCAUUGGGCACAUAUUAGAUAUGUCAUAAUAAAUUUGAACACCUGCCUCAGAUCGACUUCCUAUCAUAGUUGCUCUAGUCAUGAACUGGGAAAUAAAUAAAGAAAGGAACGAGUUGAGAACAUAUGAUAUAUAUAUAUAUCAUUCAAUAAUUCCUUCCUGUUGGCGGGUUUUUCUUAUGUCUCGUCUGGAAAGAGGGGAACUCAAUGACUAUUCGUUCACCGGAAACAGAAGUAAAGAUCGUGGUGGAGAGGGAUCCUAUUAAAACCUCUUUUGAGAAAUGGGCCAAACCUGGUCAUUUCUCAAAGACGCUAACUAAGGGACCUAAUACUACCACCUGGAUCUGGAACUUACAUGCUGAUGCUCACGAUUUUGAUAGCCAUACGAAUGAUUUGGAAGAGAUCUCUCGCAAAGUAUUCAGUGCUCAUUUUGGUCAACUAGCCAUCAUCUUUAUUUGGCUAAGCGGGAUGUACUUUCACGGCGCUCGUUUCUCCAAUUAUGAGGCAUGGUUGAGCGAUCCUAUUCACAUCAAACCGAGUGCUCAGGUAGUUUGGCCAAUAGUGGGUCAAGAAAUUCUGAAUGGAGAUGUAGGCGGAGGUUUCCGAGGAAUACAAAUAACCUCCGGAUUCUUCCAGCUUUGGCGAGCAUCAGGAAUAACUAGUGAAUUACAACUUUACUGCACCGCAAUUGGUGCAUUGAUCUGUGCAGCGUUAAUGCUUUUUGCUGGUUGGUUCCAUUAUCACAAAGCUGCUCCAAAAUUAGCUUGGUUUCAAGAUGUAGAAUCCAUGUUGAACCACCAUUUAGCAGGGUUACUAGGAAUUGGAUCUCUAUCUUGGGCAGGACACCAAGUACAUGUUUCUUUACCUAUUAACCAACUCCUAGAUGCUGGAGUUGAUCCUAAGGAGAUACCGCUUCCUCAUGAAUUUAUUUUAAAUCGCGAUCUUUUAGCCCAACUCUUUCCCAGUUUUAAUGAGGGAUUGACCCCAUUUUUCACCUUGAAUUGGUCGGAAUAUUCAGAUUUUUUGACUUUUCGUGGAGGACUCAAUCCGGUAACAGGAGGUCUAUGGCUGACCGAUACUAUACAUCAUCAUUUGGCUAUUGCAAUUCUUUUUAUUAUCGCUGGUCAUAUGUAUAGGACCAAUUGGAGUAUUGGCCAUAGCCUCAAGGAAAUUUUGGAAGCUCAUAAAGGUCCAUUUACAGGAGAGGGCCAUAAAGGUCUUUACGAGAUCUUAACUACCUCGUGGCAUGCUCAAUUAGCUCUUAACCUAGCUAUGUUAGGAUCUUUAACUAUUGUUGUAGCUCACCACAUGUAUUCCAUGCCCCCCUAUCCAUACCUUGCUAUUGACUAUGGUACACAACUCUCUCUGUUCACACAUCAUAUGUGGAUUGGUGGGUUUCUGAUAGUUGGGGCUGCUGCACAUGCAGCUAUUUUUAUGGUAAGAGACUAUGAUCCAACUACUCAAUACAACAAUCUAUUAGAUCGUGUUCUUAGACAUCGUGAUGCAAUUGUAUCACACCUCAACUGGGCAUGUAUAUUCUUAGGCUUCCAUAGUUUUGGUUUGUAUAUUCAUAAUGAUACUAUGAGCGCUUUAGGACGUCCUCAAGAUAUGUUUUCAGAUACUGCUAUACAAUUACAACCCAUUUUUGCUCAAUGGAUACAAAACACUCAUGCUUCAGCACCUAGUUUAACAGCUCCUGAUGCUACAGCGAGCACCAGCUUAACCUGGGGGGGUGGUGAUUUGGUAGCAGUAGGUAACAAAGUGGCUUUGUUACCUAUUCCAUUAGGAACCGCGGACUUUUUGGUACACCAUAUUCAUGCUUUUACUAUCCAUGUGACUGUAUUAAUAUUACUUAAAGGUGUCUUAUUUGCCCGUAGCUCUCGUUUAAUACCCGAUAAAGCAAAUCUUGGGUUUCGCUUUCCUUGUGACGGACCUGGGAGGGGAGGAACAUGCCAAGUAUCUGCCUGGGAUCAUGUUUUCCUGGGGUUAUUCUGGAUGUACAAUGCAAUUUCAGUAGUAAUAUUUCAUUUUAGCUGGAAAAUGCAGUCCGAUGUUUGGGGUAGUAUAAGUGAUCAGGGAGUGGUAACUCAUAUCACGGGAGGAAACUUUGCGCAGAGCUCUAUUACAAUUAACGGGUGGCUUCGUGACUUUUUAUGGGCACAAGCCUCUCAGGUAAUCCAAUCUUAUGGUUCUUCAUUAUCUGCAUAUGGUCUUUUAUUCUUAGGUGCUCAUUUUGUUUGGGCCUUUAGUUUAAUGUUCUUAUUCAGUGGCCGUGGGUAUUGGCAAGAACUCAUUGAAUCCAUCGUUUGGGCUCAUAACAAACUGAAGGUUGCUCCUGCUAUCCAGCCCAGAGCCUUGAGCAUUGUCCAAGGACGUGCUGUAGGAGUAGCUCAUUACCUUCUGGGUGGAAUCGUCACAACAUGGGCGUUCUUCCUAGCAAGAAUUAUUGCAGUAGGAUAAUGGCUAGGAGGAUUUGAAAAGCACUAUGGCAUCAAGAUUUCCAAAGUUCAGCCAAGGCUUGGCCCAGGACCCAACUACUCGUCGUAUUUGGUUUGGUAUUGCUACCGCACAUGAUUUUGAGAGUCAUGAUGAUAUGACCGAGGAACGCCUUUAUCAGAACAUUUUUGCUUCUCAUUUCGGUCAGUUAGCCAUAAUUUUUCUUUGGACCUCUGGUAAUUUGUUCCACGUGGCUUGGCAAGGCAAUUUCGAAGCGUGGGUACACGACCCCUUACAUGUAAGACCUAUCGCUCAUGCAAUUUGGGAUCCUCAUUUUGGUCAACCUGCUGUAGAAGCCUUUACCCGAGGAGGUGCUCCCGGUCCGGUCAAUAUUGCUUAUUCCGGUGUUUAUCAGUGGUGGUAUACAAUUGGCUUACGCACUAAUGAAGAUCUUUAUACUGGAGCUCUUUUCUUACUAUUUAUUUCUGCACUUUUUUUAAUAGCGGGUCGGCUCCAUCUACAACCUCGAUGGAAACCAAGUGUUUCAUGGUUUAAAAAUGCCGAAUCUCGCCUCAAUCAUCAUUUGUCGGGGCUUUUCGGAGUCAGUUCUUUGGCUUGGACGGGGCAUUUGAUUCAUGUAGCUAUUCCUGAAUCAAGGGGGGAGCACGUUAGAUGGGGUAAUUUCUUAAAUGUAUUACCACAUCCCCAGGGCUUAGAACCACUUUUUACAGGUCAGUGGAAUAUUUAUGCUCAAAAUACUGAUUCCAGUAGUCACUUAUUCGGUACCUCGCAAGGGGCGGGAACUGCUAUUCUAACUCUUCUCGGAGGGUUCCACCCACAAACCCAAAGUUUGUGGCUGACUGAUAUCGCUCACCAUCAUUUAGCUAUUGCGUUUGUUUUUCUCAUUGCUGGUCAUAUGUAUAGAACCAACUUUGGGAUAGGACACAGUAUAAAAGAUAUUUUAGAAGCGCAUAUUCCUCCGAGAGGUCUAUUAGGCCGCGGACAUAAGGGUCUUUAUAACACAAUCAAUAACUCUCUUCACUUUCAAUUAGGUCUUGCUCUAGCUUCUUUGGGCGUUAUUACUUCCUUAGUAGCUCAACACAUGUAUUCCAUGCCUGCUUAUGCAUUCAUAGCACAAGACUUCACUACCCAAGCUGCAUUGUAUACUCAUCAUCAAUACAUUGCCGGAUUCAUUAUGACAGGAGCAUUUGCUCAUGGAGCUAUAUUCCUCAUUAGGGAUUAUAAUCCGGAACAAAAUAAGGAUAAUGUAUUGGCCAGAAUGUUGGAGCAUAAGGAAGCUAUAAUAUCACAUCUAAGUUGGGCUAGUUUAUUCCUAGGGUUCCAUACCUUGGGGCUUUAUGUUCAUAACGAUGUUAUGCUUGCUUUUGGUACUCCGGAAAAACAAAUCUUGAUCGAGCCUAUAUUUGCUCAGUGGAUACAAUCUGCUCAUGGUAAAACCCUAUAUGGUUUUGAUGUACUCUUAUCCUCAGCGAAUGAUCCUGCAUUCAAUGCCGGUAAAAGCAUAUGGUUACCAGGUUGGUUGAAUGCUGUUAAUGAUAACAACAAUUCACUGUUCUUAACAAUUGGUCCUGGAGACUUUUUGGUUCAUCAUGCUAUUGCUCUAGGUUUGCAUACAACUACACUAAUUUUAGUGAAAGGUGCUUUAGAUGCCCGCGGUUCUAAGCUAAUGCCAGAUAAGAAAGAUUUUGGUUAUAGUUUCCCUUGUGAUGGUCCAGGGCGGGGAGGUACUUGCGAUAUCUCGGCCUGGGAUGCUUUUUAUUUGGCAGUAUUUUGGAUGUUGAAUACCAUUGGAUGGGUUACUUUCUAUUGGCAUUGGAAGCAUAUCACAUUAUGGCAGGGUAAUGUAGCUCAAUUUAAUGAGUCUUCCACUUAUUUAAUGGGGUGGUUAAGAGAUUAUCUUUGGUUAAACUCUUCACAACUUAUUAAUGGAUACAAUCCUUUUGGGAUGAACAGUUUAUCUGUCUGGGCAUGGAUGUUCUUAUUCGGACAUCUUGUUUGGGCUAUUGGAUUCAUGUUUCUUAUUUCCUGGCGUGGAUAUUGGCAGGAACUCAUUGAAACUCUCGCAUGGGCUCAUGAACGCACACCGUUGGCUAAUUUAAUUCGAUGGAGGGAUAAGCCAGUAGCUCUUUCCAUUGUUCAAGCACGAUUGGUUGGAUUAGCCCACUUUUCCGUAGGUUAUAUAUUCACUUACGCAGCUUUUUUAAUUGCCUCUACAUCGGGCAAAUUUGGUUAAUUCUUUUUUAUCAAAUCGAGUAAAUCUUAAGAUUAUGGAUAUAUUGAAUAAUUCGAUAUAUCUAUAAUCUCUCUGCAUAGAAAGAAAGAGUAAUUAACCUCAUAUUUCUUCAUCUUAAAUAUGAUCUUUAUUUUUUAUUCCUGUAUACUACCUGGCAGAACCAUUAUGACAAGAAAAUGUCUCAUUCAGAGAGAGAAAAAGAAACAAAGAUUGGAACAGAAAUACAAAUUAAUUCGUCAAUCCUUGAAGAGAGAGAUAAGAGAAGUUUCAUCAUUGGAUGAAAAAUUGGAAAUUCAUAGAAAAUUACAAUCUUUACCGCGUAAUAGUGCACCCACACGUCUUCAUCGCCGUUGUUCUUCGACUGGAAGACCUAGAGCCAACUAUAGAGACUUUGGGUUGUCCGGAUAUAUACUGCGUGAGAGAGCUCACGCAUGUUUGUUGCCCGGGGUAACCAAAUCGAGUUGGUAGGAGGAAAAAAAUCUUUUUAGGGUUAUGAAAACGUCUCUUACCCCCCCCCUCUAUAGAGAGGGGAAGAGACGUUUUCACGGUUGUUGGGUGUACACGUUGCGUGUAUUGUAUAAUACCCAAAAUAAUGGGAUAAAUAGGAUAUCCAUUAUAGCGCGGGGUAGAGCAGUUUGGUAGCUCGCAAGGCUCAUAACCUUGAAGUCACGGGUUCAAAUCCCGUCUCCGCUAGAGCGCAAGAAGCGUUUGUUGUCCAAACAGGGCAUUCUCCGUGGAUAAUUGAAUGAGAGGUAUCAAUUAGAUAUUGAUACCCAAGAACUAUUCCUUUGCCAUAUUCCAUUUUUUUGAUGGGCGGGUAGCGGGGAUCGAACCCGCAUCUUCUCCCUGGCAAAGAGAAAUUUUACCAUUAAACCAUACCCGCAUUUGACUCGUACUUGGUAUAUAUAGCAUAUAUAGUAUAUAUACUAUAUAUGCUAUAUAUGCAUAGAUUUAUUUUAUGGAAUAAUCGGGAAAUAGCCCCUCCCUUGAGCACUUUCAUUUGGUUUCUUGGGACUUGUCUGAAAUGCCCUUCCGAACUAUAAUGCCCUCUGGGGAGGGGAGGAGAGUUUCAACCCAAAAGAUCUUAGAACAUAUCUAAGAUAUAAAAGAAUUAAGGAUACCUACUAAAAGUACUAAUCCAAUCCAUAAUGAUACACCCGAAAAUAAAAUAUUUUUGCUACUUGACCAACCAUUAGGAGAGGCAAGCGUGACAGGUACACCAAUCACUAGGAGAAUUGAAAUUGCAAUUAAUGCAAACACAGACGAUUGGAAAGCAAUAGUCAUGGUUGUAAUCUUAAAAGUUUCCAACAGAUUCAAUAAACUAUACCAUCCGAUCCCUAUCCGGUCAAAGUGUAAUCAAAUACACUACGGAUUCUAUCCGAUCAGAAAUUCUUCGAUCUUAAAAACUACUUUUUGGUAAGUAAAAGAUAAAAAAUUUAUUGACAUUUUCCCAUUGUGAAAAUGUCAUUACAACAUAGAUAUAUAUAACUAUGAAUAUGUACGCAGAGAUAUGCACCUCUGCAUAUUUGAUAGAAUAUUUAUGUGUAUGCCAUAUGCAUACAUGGAUAUCUGCAUGUCUAAUGAUGACAUUAGACAUAUAGCCAGCGGAUAUUAUAUGAAGGAGCAAAAGCCAAGUUGUCUUCGCCCGGGAGAGAUGGCCGAGUGGUUGAUGGCUCCGGUCUUGAAAACCGGUAUAGUUCAAAAACUAUCGAGGGUUCGAAUCCCUCUCUCUCCUUUUGUUCGUUGAACAAUUCAACUCAUCAGUCCAGUAUAAAAAAAGGCUUGGCUAUCUAUCUAUAUAUCCGUAUAGAUAGAUAGCUCGAGUAUAGCCAAGCUUCAAAGGAAGGAUUCAGUUAGUUGAAAGGGAAAUAGCUGAAAUAUAUCCCGCCACAUUGGGAAUCAAUUGAAAUUGGAUUGAUUUUAUUUUAAUCCAGUUUUAUCACUUGUUUAGUUAAGUGGAGUCAUGGAAAGAACAGGUUCAAAAUCACGAUCAAUUCCUUUCUCAAAUCCUGCUGCAGCUGCACGAGCCCGUCCUGCAUGCCACAAAUGACCUACGAAGAAAAAAAAUCCUAAAACAAAAUGGGAGGUGGAUAACCAACUUCGGGGAGAGACAUAAUUUACCGCAUUAAUUUCGGUAGCUACGCCACCCACGGAAUUCAAAGAACCUAAAGGAGCGUGAGUCAUAUAUUCUGCCGAACGUCGUUCUUGCCAGGGCUGUAUGUCCUUUUUCAAUUUACUCAGGUCCAACCCAUUAGGGCCCCUUAGGGGUUCCAACCAAGGGGCACGGAGAUCCCAAAAGCGCAUUGUUUCUCCUCCAAAGAUAAUUUCUCCAGUAGGAGAACGCAUAAGAUAUUUACCUAAACCAGUAGGUCCCUGGGCAGAUCCCACGCUAGCUCCAAGCCGUUGAUCUCUUACUAGAAAAGUAAAUGCUUGAGCUUGAGAGGCCUCUGGGCCAGUAGGCCCAUAGAAUUCACUAGGAUAAGCUGUAUUAUUGAACCAAACGAAACAACAAGCAGUAAAACCAAACACAGCGAGAGCGCCUAGGCUAUAGGACAAGUAAGCUUCUCCGGACCAUACAAACGCGCGGCGAGCCCAUGCAAAAGGUUUUGUUAAGAUAUGCCAUAUACCACCGAAGAUACAAAUCGAACCUAACCAUACAUGUCCUCCGAUUAUAUCUUCUAGAUUGUCUACGCUAACGAUCCAUCCCUCUCCUCCAAAAGGGGACUUAAGUAAAUAGCCAAAUAUAACACUUGGGUUAAGCGUUAUGUUUGUAAUUUUUCUUACAUCUCCACCGCCGGGAGCCCAGGUAUCAUAUACACCACCAAAAUACAAAGCCUUGAGCACUAGGAGGAAAGCGCCAACACCUAGCAAGAUUAGGUGAAUACCCAAAAUUGUGGUCAUUUUGUUCCUAUCUUUCCAUACAUAACCAAAGAAUGGAAAAGAUUCUUCCAAAGUUUCGGGUCCGACGAGUGCAUGAUAAAUACCACCAAAACCUAAAACUGCAGAAGAAAUUAAGUGAAGUACUCCAGAUACAAAGUAGGGGAAAGUGUCCACAAUUUCCCCACCAGGACCGACGCCCCAUCCUAGAGUAGCUAGAUGGGGAAGUAAAAUCAAUCCUUGUUCAUACAUAGGCUUUUCCGGUACAAAAUGAGCCACUUCAAAUAGGUUCAUUGCUCCGGCCCAGAAUACAAUUAAUCCGGCAUGAGCAACAUGAGCCCCAAGUAAUUUACCCGACAAAUUGAUAAGCCGCGCAUUACCAGCCCACCAAGCAAAACCAGUGCUUUCUUGGUCACGACCAGCUAAAGCUAGGGUUCCAUUAAAGAGCGUUUCCACGGGGUAGAACCUCCUCGGGGAAUAUAAGGUUUUCAUGAGGCUGAUCCUGAGCCGCCAUCCAAGCACGAAUACCUUCGUUCAAGAGAAUAUUUUUUGUGUAGAAAGUCUCAAACUCAGGAUCUUCUGCUGCACGGAUCUCCUGGGAAACAAAAUCAUAGGCACGUAAGUUUAGAGCUAGACCAACUACUCCAAUGGCACUCAUCCAUAAACCGGUCACUGGCACAAAUAACAUGAAGAAAUGUAACCAACGUUUAUUGGAAAAAGCAACCCCAAAUAUUUGGGACCAGAACCGGUUAGCAGUUACCAUUGAAUAAGUCUCUUCAGCUUGAGUUGGGUUAAAAGCACGGAAUGUAUUUGCACCAUCACCGUCUUCAAAUAAAGUAUUUUCUACGGUGGCACCGUGAAUAGCGCAUAGAAGAGCAGCACCUAAUACUCCGGCAACUCCCAUCAUAUGAAAAGGAUUCAAGGUCCAAUUAUGAAAGCCUUGAAAAAAGAGGAUGAAGCGGAAAAUAGCCGCUACACCAAAACUAGGUGCGAAGAACCAACCAGACUGGCCUAAGGGAUAGAUCAGGAAUACAGAAACAAAAACAGCAAUCGGAGCAGAGAACGCAAUUGCAUUAUAAGGUCUCAAUUGUACAGAUCGAGCGAGUUCAAAUUGGCGUAACAUAAAGCCUAUUAGACCAAAAGCACCAUGAAGAGCAACAAAGGUCCAUAGGCCACCUAAUUGACACCAACGAGUAAAAUCUCCUUGUGCUUCGGGACCCCAUAAUAGCAGCAAAGAAUGCGCUAAACUAUUAGCUGGAGUAGAAACCGCAGCAGUCAAAAAAUUACAACCUUCCAAAUAGGAACUGGCCAAUCCGUGAGUAUACCAUGAAGUCACAAAGGUUGUACCCGUGAACCAUCCACCUAGGGCAAAAUAGGCACAAGGAAAAAGCAAUAGACCGGACCAACCCACAAAAACAAAACGGUCUCUGCGUAGCCAGUCAUCCAUAGUAUCAAAUAAAGUUUUUUCUUCUUUGGAAGACUUUCCAAGGGCUAUAGUCAUAAUAAUCCUCCUAUUUAGCUAUUUCGACCAUUUCCGAGCACCCUAUCUAAUAGUAGAAUCAAAAGGGUAUACGAAGGUUCGCCCAUCUACGGGCAAUUCUUCAUCCAUGAUCCCUUUCAACAAAAUGGGCCCAAAGAUCCCGGCAUAGAGAUUCUCCGCUGAACCGGACCAAUCCAAUAUAGGUAAAUGCAGGAUAACCCGAAGUUUUGAUAUUCAGUUUUUGAAUGAUCUUCAAAUCACGUGAAGAAUCAAAUAAUGGAAACGGGACAACUUGCGGGGGGGGGCAGGUGAGCUUUUUGCUUCUUCCCAGUUCUUCAACAGAUUCUAUUCACAAUAUUCAUUCGAUUCAAUAUUUUUGAUUCAUUCUUAAUUCUCCUCCUAGAUCGACGAAAUUAAUACGAAUCUUUAUAUCAAUCUCAUAGAUAAAUCUCUAUGUUCAUUUUUUAACACUACAUUUUUGAUGUGAGCGAAUAGGAACAAGAAGGAGUAGAUAUUUUUCUAACUCAUACUCAUAGAGUUAAAUAAAAAAACUCCAUUCGUUCUUCUCCUUAUAUAUGAAGGAGGCGGCAGAGCAUUCAAUCCACAAACAAAUAUUUGUUUCUUCCAUCAAAAAUUAAGAUGAAUUCCGAUGGAAUUUAAGGUUCGCUUUCAAAAUGCCCCUCAAAUUUCAAUAUCAGAAUAGCUAAUAUAUUGAUAACUCAAUAGGUCAGGUUCACUUACUUCUCCCUCUUUUUUACUUCUUUUGACCUGGAAGAAGUAGGAUAUAAAAAAUGUAAAAUGCUUUCGUAGUAUGGCAUUAGGCUUCCAUAAUAUAUGCCUCAAAAAUGAGGAAGAUGAAGAAAACUAUGCCUAAUCCUAAAUCAUUGCUCAUCCUAUAGUAGCAAUAGGAAGAACAAAGCUUUUAAAGCUAUAGAUAGUAAUAGACCCCUAUUCAUAUUAAAUGUUCUAUUCUAUCAUAACAAACGUUAACCCUAAUACCCAUUAUAACAGGUGGUCAUUGUCUCGGGGUUUUGCUUUAAUCUCGCCUGUCCAUUGAAAGAAAAGGAAGGCUUCCUUGUAAGAACCUUAAAAGGAGCCCUUUAUCGGGCUUGAACCGAUGACUUACGCCUUACCAUGGCGUUACUCUACCACUGAGUUAAAAGGGCUUGUGCUCAUUUCAUUAUGAAAUAUUAAGUCUACUAUAUAUCUGUAGUAUAUAUGAAUAUACCAAAAUGGAUCCAUGGAUAAAUAAAUUUGCAUAUGGAUAGAUAUUGAUCUACUUAAUUGUUCCAGGGCCGAUUAUGUUCCAAUCGUAUCGAUUAUUUAGAAUUAAACUUAUUAUAAUAAUAGAUUGAUUGAGCUAUUCGAUCUGGUCAUAAAAGGGUGGCAUCUGUACCCUGUAAUUGUCAGGGAGGAACUAUACGUUCCAUUACUUACCUAUGAGAAUGGUAAUCUUCUUAAGAUUUUUUAACAGGAUUACGCUUAUCCUACCUGUCUGUCUAUCACUCAGAUCUACGCACGGGAUUUUUUAAAUCAGAAAGAGAUUGAUAUUUCCAAUAUUUAUUAUUGGAAAUAACCAGUUUUUGCACCCUAUUCUGAUCUGUUCUAUGUCGGCCAUUAUUGGAUCAGGACCCUUUUGAUAGAUUUUUUAACAGACCUAAUCUCGAUUAAAUAGCUUUGAAGAAAAGGCCCUAGGUUCAGAAGGUACAAAUAUACCUCCCUUGCUCCUCCAAAACCAAUAGAAAUUUUGUAAUAUGGUUAAUCAAAGGGAUACUUAUUCAUAUAAACGCAAUAUCGGGCCCUCCAUAAUUUUCCCUCACAUCAUUGUUCAAUAUGGGACGUAUAGGUAUAUUUGUAACAAUGCGCAAACGAUGCUGCGAUCAUUAUAGAUCGAUAUCUAUAAACCCUAUUUGGGGGAACUUUCUAUUUCUUAGCAAAUAAAUUGAUGAACAAUAGAACAAUAGGAAUAUUGACUCACUAACAUACAUAAGAUUAGUUCUUUUUUGCUUCUACUGUUGACAAUUUCAUAGGGAUUUGAAUAUAAUUAUGAUAGGCGGGCCCCUAUCGUCUAGUGGCCCAGGACAUCUCUCUUUCAAGGAGGCAACGGGGAUUCGACUUCCCCUAGGGGUAUUAUACUAUAAAGUCUUUAGCCUACCAUACCAAAUGAGUAUCUUAAAGAUUUUGAAUUUAUGGUUCCUGGGUCGAUGCCCGAGUGGUUCAUGGGGACGGACUGUAAAUUCGUUGUGCAAUAUGCCGACGCUGGUUCAAAUCCAGCUCGACCCAAUAUAAACAUGGCCCCUCAAUAAGAGAUUUAUGUAAAUCUCUGGCAUUGAUGAAAGGGUAGUUGGUUUUUGAACUCUUGAUGUAUCUGUGUUUUAUAUAUAUAUAUGCAUGUAUAUAUAUAUACAUAAUGGAACGAAGUAAUACUUCAGAUUCGAGGAAUCUGAGACAUCCAAUGUUUUAUUGAUCCGGCAGUAACAUAAUGUGUUACUGCGGACUAGUUGGCGGGCGAUCUAUUGGGAUUGUAGUUCAAUUGGUUAGAGUACCGCCCUGUCAAGACGGAAGUUGCGGGUUCGAGCCCCGUCAGUCCCGGUCGAAUUGAAUAAGUUUACCUUUUGUUUUCUCUAUACCCGGAGAAAUUGGAACUUUUCCUUUUCUUUAUGUCGGUGAGAGCUAUGUAAAAAGGGUGCAUUAGGACAAAUCAAAUUUCAUGCAGGAGAAUUCCUAUUCUGUCGUUUGUUUUUAGGCUAAAUGGCAACUAUUAGCCGAUGCAAAUUCUUGCAAUAGACUAUUGUGAUGUUUAAGUAUAACUCAAGGUAGCGAUAUGUGAUUCGUUCUAUUCAAUCAAUAGAACCCAUUUCAUGCUAGACCCUCCCCCGAUGUUCUUUUAUUGCAUCUGUGUGUUCAUUGGGGUCUAUGUCUAUUCAGAUCUUGUUCAUCUCUUGUACGACUAAAUUCAACAAACCCCAUAGGUUAUUUUAGUUGCCUAUUAUAACUAUAGGCAAUUUGCCCCCCCUAUUUGCGAUUGUGAAAUUGUUCGCAGAUCCUAACAAUUUCCUAAAUUAGGAAUUACUGGAUCAAUUAGGGAUUCUUACGCCAAACAAAUUCCGUUUUUUUUUCUAAAAAAUGAUGUCAUAUAGGGCAUAUGUAUAUUGGAAUGCCCUUCUUCCAUGCGGAUCAAAUCAAGGUACCACUUAAUUUAAUCAGAAAAGCGGUAAGGAACUGAUUAAAUUCUUCUUUCCCCAAAAGAAAGGAAUGGAUUAUGUACGUAAUGAUGUGAAGACCCCGAGUGAUCCACAUCAACAGCAUCGGUGUUACUUUGCUGCCUACCUCCCCCCCCCCACCCUGUUUCUUUAGCUUUUAUUUUGGAGAAUAAGGAAAAAGCUUGAGCACGUAUCUUAUCACAAUAAAGAUUAGAAAUUAGAUGGUUUUUGUGAAUCUACCCGAUCAGUAGGAUCGAUUCCUUCGAUAUGUAUUACGAGAGGAUUUAGUGGAUGUAAGUUUUUAUUAUUGAUUGGUCUUAUCAAAAUAAGGAAUCAAUCAGUGGAUAUAAUGCCUCAUAGAAAUCUUCAUCAUACUUUUCUGUCCUUCAAAUUGGCAUAUAUGAAUCAUCAUCUUGAUGAUAAUUCAAUUAUUGAUAAUAUCUAAAAAUUAGUUUUGCCCAAUAAAAUUUUUAUUACCCUAAAUUUUUUAUUUUAGGGCAUUGGAACCAUAUGAGUGGGACAAUGGACCGAUCUGCUAGAUCCAGUAUGAAUAAAGGAUAAUAGCAUGUUAUACUAUUUCACUUCUAUUGAAGAAUCAAUGAAAUUUGUUAGAUUCCGUUAAUCUAAUUGAUCCUAUUGAUUGAACCUCAUCCUCUAAGGAUUCAGUCCAUUUUGGGAUCUCAAAAAAUCUAUGAGAUCAAAUCUCGUUAUUGUAAAACGAAGGGAAAAUAAAUAAUGGAAGUAAAUAUUGCUGCAUUUCUUGCUGUUGCAUUGUUCAUUUCAGUCCCUACUGCUUUUCUAAUCAUUAUUUACGUAAAAACGAUCAGUGCAGGCAAUUAACUUGUAUGAAAAUACAGUGCUUUUUGAUCACUAAAGCAUCUAGAAAUGCUAUGGAUCAUGAGGCGGAAAAAGUGAUAGAGGUCCCGGGUAGAGAUUAAUGUGUAUAAGUAGUAGUGUAUACUACUUAUACACAUUAAUCUCUAGAUUUGAAUAAAUCAUUGCUUGGAUAACAAAUGGAGGAUUAGGCCUAAUAAAAAAUCGGGGCUAGCAGCAUUUUUUAUUUAUGUAUCCCAUAAUAAACUGUUGUGUAAACAGAACAGAGGUGUAGGUUAUGAAUAUGUUAAUAACAUGUUUAUAACAGUCUUUUUUACAGAUACUCUAAUAGUACAUAGUGGAUAUGAAACUCUAAAUUACAUAAGAAAAACAGUUUAUACGGGGGAGAAAGGAUCUACGACUAAGACAGAUCAACGCAAGCAAUGUGCACGUUUCAGUUUCUCCAGGUUAGAAAAAACGGAUUUACAUUGAAUCCGAUCAAUUUUGAAUGAUCCGAUGAAAACAUAUGAAAACGUACACUCUUUUGUUUUGAGUCCUACUAUUCCAGCUAUUCCUAUAUAUAAGCUCUAUAUAUAACUAGUAUUUUUACUAUAAGAGUUUUCGUAAAAAUAUUAUUCUUCGUUGGAGCCCAAUAGAACUAUGGACUCAUUUUAGGGAAGAGAAGAACUAGUUGAAUGAGUGAGGAAGAAUACUCUUUUUAAGAGUAAAAUCCAAGAAAGAUUAGGGUAAAGCUCUCUCUACAUAUCCGCAAAGGAUAAAUAGCUUCAUAAAUACAAGAAUAUAUGAUUUUAGCUAUAUCACCGAGGAUUCAGUAUUACGUACGAAAUCAUUAUGAAACUGGAAAUAUUAGCAUUGCAGAAUGAUUUGCAACAAGGCAAUUGCUUAGAAAAUGAAGCAUAUAUAUAUAUUAUAAUCCGCUUCUACCCCAUACUACGAGUGAAAGCGAAAAUGUAAAAACUACCAUUAAAGCAGCCCAAGCGAUAUCGACUAUAUCCAUACCAAUGCCUCAUUUGCAAAAAUAAUAAUUAUAAUAAUUAAUUACUGAUGAUAAGAGAACUAAUCAGGAUAGUGCAAAGUGUAAAUCAUCCACCUUCCCAUUUCAAACUGACUAGUAAAUAUGAGAUAUUUAGCAUUCCAUUUGUUUAUUAGACCUAGUUACAAAAAACUGUCGAUAGUAUCGCACAUCCACGACAAAAAGAAACAACAUUCUAUAGGUUCUAUUGGGUAAUAUGGAGCAGUACAAGUUAUCCGCAAAAAUGAUGGAAUGAAAUUCCCAAUUUUUUGCUUUUAUUUUGCUCUAUUUACUGUUUACUCUAACAGAGGGAGGGGGCACUCGGAUUUGAAUCCAAGGUAGAAGAUUUUGAGUCCCCUGACCACUGGGCUUUGUCGUAUAGGGAAUUGGCAGUCCCCCUAUCAAUCAUGCGUGUCGUAUGGGGCCGGAUAGAGGGUUUAAAGUACCCCGAUUUUCUACUUUCUCAUGUUGCCAACCUAAUACCAAUAGGGUCAAAUAUUCAAUAUAGAAUAAAGAAUAGGCGACACCCAGAUUUGAACUGGGGAUAGGAGAUUUGCAGUCUCCUGCCUUACCGCUUGGCCAUGUCGCCAGAUAUAGAUCCGCAUUUCUUUCUCGAUUAAAGUCUAAUAAUAAAUCCUUGCUUGAGUCAACUAGAAAAGAAAUAAAAAGUAUCAAGGGACCUUUUCUUUUUCUUAGCAUUUUACAAGGAUCUAUCUGGAUAUGGGUGGAAUUCCAUGGGAUAUAGUGAACGAAAUAUACAUCUCAAUUUCUGUCAGAUUGAUUCAUAUGGAUCAAUAAGAAAUCAAUAACGAAAUAAACUUCUGAAUUUAUGGACGAUAAACUUCCAAUGCGCUUAGAUGGAAAUAAGGCACCAUUUACAAUCCCCGAAUUUGGUAAAAUACAGUUUGAGGGAUUUUGUCGUUUCUUGGAUCAAGGCUUAGUAGAAGAACUACACAAGUUUCCAAAAAUUGAGAGUUCAGAUAAAAGACUAGAAUUUAGUCUUUCUGGGAAUAGAUAUGAAUUAGAAAAACCUACCAUUAAAGAGAGAGAUGCUGUCUACAAAUCCCGUACAUAUUACUCUAGAUUAUGCGUACCAGCAAAGGUUAUUCAAAGAACUUGUAAAGAUAUACAUGAACAAGAUGUAUUUCUUGGAAAAAUCCCUUUAAUGAGUUCCAAAGGAUUUUUUGUAGUAAAUGGAAAUUAUAGAGUCGUGAUCAAUCAAAUAUUAAGAAGUCCCGGUAUUUAUUACCGUUCAAAAAUAAAAAAUAAUGAACUUAUUUAUACUGGUACGAUAAUCUCAGAUUGGGGAGGAAGAUCAAGAUUAGAGAUCGAUGAAACAGGAAGGAUAUGGGUUUUUGUAAGAAAAAAAAAAAAAAUAUCUAUUUUACUUCUAUUAUCGGCUAUGGGUCUUGAUCUCCAAGAUAUUCUGUACAAUGCUCCCCUGCUCAAUAAAUACAUUCGUUCUGGAGGACCUGAACGUAAGGCAUAUCGGGAGUUAGAAGCUAUGAGAAGGGAAGAUGCCCUUUUGGAGUUUUAUAAAAAACUCUCCGGUCCCGAUGAAGUAGAGGAUAGUGAUGAUGAAGAAGAAACGAAUGACGAUCUAAUAUUUUCCGAGUCUGAAUGUAAAGAAUUACAAGAGAAGUUUUUCUCACAAAAGUGUGAAUUAGGAAAGAUCGGUAGGCGAAAUCUGAACAAAAAACUGAAUCUUAAUAUCCCCGAGACCGAGAUCUUUUUAUUACCACAAGAUCUAUUGGCUGCUGUUGAUUAUCUUAUCAGAGUUCAAUUUGGAGGGGGAACAUUAGAUGAUAUAGAUCAUAUUCAGAAUAAACGUAUACGUUCUGUGGCAGAUUUAUUACAAAUUGAAUUUGAAUUUGCCCUAGUGCUUUUAGAACAAACAGUGAAAACAACUCUGAUGAUAAGGCGUUCAUCAACUGAAACAACUCCUAAUGACUUAGUAAAGUCAAGACCAUUAACAAAAACUUUUCAAGAUUUUUUUGGUUUACAUCCCUUAUCGCAGUUUUUGGAUCAAACUAAUCCAUUGGCUGAAAUAGUUCAUAGCCGAAAAUUGAGUCAUUUAGGCCCUGGAGGGUUAACAACUCGAACUGCUACUUUCCGGAUCCGGGAUAUUCAUCCUAGUCAUUAUGGACGUAUUUGUCCAAUUGCUACGUCCGAAGGAAAGAAUGCUGGACUUGUCGCAUCGUUAUCUAUUUACGCAACGCUUGGUCCUUAUGACUCUUUACAAACUCCAUACUAUAAUAUAUCUGAGAGAUCAAAAAAAGAAAUGGUUUAUCUAUUACCUGGAGAAGAUGAAAGCUAUCGGAUAGCUACGGGUGAUCAUUUGGCGUUAAAUCAUGGUAUUCCAGAGGAGCAGGUUACUCCAGCUUUUUAUCAACAAGAAUUUUUAGUUCUUGCAUGGGAGCAAAUCGAUUUCAGGAAUAUUUAUCCGAACCAAUACUUUUCCGUUGGAGUUUGCCUUGUUCCUUUUCUUGAACAUAAUGACGCAAAUCGUGCUUUAAUGGGUUCCAAUAUGCAACGUCAAGCAGUUGCAUCAUUUCAACCUGAGAAGUGCAUUGUCGGAACUGGGUUGGAAGGUCAAGCAGCUCUAGAUUCCGGAAGUGUAGCUAUAGCCGCACAAAAAGGAAGCAUCAAGUAUAUUGAUGCUGGAAGCAUCACUUCAUACGGUUAUCGAAACACUAGAAAAAAAAUAAAAAGAACAGAAUUGGCCCUAUAUCAACGUUCUAAUAGCAAUACUUGUAUACAUCAAAAACCUCGGAUUCGCCAAGGACAAUGUGUAAAGAAAGGACAAAUUCUGGCGGACAGUGCGGCUACAGUAGGGGGGGAGCUCUCUUUGGGAAAAAACAUCUUAGUGGCUUAUAUGCCAUGGGAGGGCUUCAAUUUUGAAGACGCAGUGGUUAUUAGUGAACGUCUGGUAUAUGAAGAUAUUUAUACUUCUUUCCAGAUCGUAAGAUAUGAAAUUGGAAUAUAUAUAAAGAACGAGGGCCCUGAGAUAAUCACUAGGGAAAUACCUCGUUUAGAUGCUCAUUCACUCCGUCAUUUGGACAAAAACGGCCUUGUAAAGCUAGGAUCUUGGAUAGAACCAGGUGAUGUUUUAGUUGGUAAAUUGACGCCUCAAACAGCCAAGGAAUCAUUAUAUACUCCAGAAGAAAGAUUAUUACACGCCAUAUUCGGUAUUGAGCUCUCUAAUGCAAGAGAAAAUUGUCUUAAAGUACCGGUAGGUGUAAGAGGUCAAGUUAUCGAUGUGAGAUGGAUCCGUAAAAAAGAUAACUAUGGCGAUUCUAUAAAAGAAGUCCAUGUAUAUAUCUUACAAAAACGUAAGAUAAAAGUGGGUGAUAAAGUAGCUGGAAGGCACGGUAAUAAAGGUAUUAUUUCCAUAGUUUUACCCAGACAAGACAUGCCAUAUUUGCAAAAUGGAACACCAGUGGAUAUGAUAUUAAAUCCAUUAGGGGUGCCCUCACGAAUGAAUGUAGGGCAGAUUUUUGAAUGUUUGCUGGGUUUAGCAGGGAAACUGAUGAACAAACAUUAUAGAAUAGCCACUUUUGACGAAAGGUACGAGCAAGAGGCUUCAAGAAAACUAGUGUUUUCUGAACUUUAUAAAGCUAGUGAGCGAACAACUAAUCCAUGGGUAUUUGAACCUGAUCAUCCUGGAAAACAUAGAUUAAUUGAUGGAAGAACAGGAGAGGUUUUUGAACAACCUGUUACAAUAGGAAUAGCUUAUAUGUCGAAAUUAUGCCAUCAAGUGGAUGACAAAAUCCAUGCACGUUCCAGUGGACCUUAUGCACGGGUUACGCAACAACCUCUUAAAGGAAGAUCCAGACGAGGAGGGCAACGAGUAGGAGAAAUGGAAGUUUGGGCUCUAGAAGGGUCUGGUGUUGCUUAUAACUUACACGAGAUGGGUACUCUUAAAUCUGACCAUAUUGACAGUCGUAAAAAAAUACUUGGCGCCAUUCUUACUGGAGAACCAAUACCUAAACCAGAACCAGACACUACUCCCGAAUCUUUCCGAUUGCUUAUUCGGGAACUACGAUCUUUAGCUCUAGACUUGAACCAUGCUAUUAUAUCCGCAAAAGAUUUUCAGAUAGAUAGGAAGCAAAUUUAAUCAAAAUUUAGAAAAAUCUUUGUUUUCUGAUUCUAUAGUUUAUACUAUUCCACUUUCCGUUUACUAUGAAUCAAAUUCCUUUUUUUAAUAAUGUAUAUGAUUAACCAAAAUAAACAUCGCCAACUUCAAAUUGGCUUAGCUUCGCCCGAACAGAUUCGUGCUUGGUCUGAAAGAAUUUUACCUAAUGGAGAAAGAGUCGGAGAGGUGACUAACCCUUAUGCUUUUGAUAUUGAAACUAAUCAACCAGAAAGAGAUGGAUUGUUCCGUGAAAGAAUUUUUGGACCUAAAAAAACUGGGGUUUGUGCUUGUGGAAAGCCUAAAGUGAUUGAGAAUGAGGAAGGCUCUCAAUUUUGUAAACAUUGCGGAGUUGAGCUUGUAGAUUCUCGAAUUCGAAGAUAUCGAAUGGGAUACAUUAAGCUGGCAUGCCCAGUGGUUCAUAUCUGGUAUUUUAAACGACGUCCCAGUUAUAUCGCGAAUCUAUUAGAUCUAACUCGUAAAGAUUUAGAAGGCCUAGUAUAUUGUGAUUCUUGUAUUACUAGGGCUGUAGCUAACAAACCAACUUUAUUGCGAGUUGGAAGUGGUCCGUUCCAAUAUCAGGAUCAAUACUGGACUGAUAUUAUUCAUCAGUAUAUCACCUGGCGGGACCUUAGGAAAUUUUUAGAGAGAGAAAUAACCACUGGGGGAAAUGCUAUAAGAGAAAAACUAACUGGUUUGGACCUGCAAAUUAUUCUAGAUCGUUCAUCUAUGGAAUGGGUUACAUUGGACGCCAUUUUUAAAACAAAAAAUGUUUUUGACGGGCUUCCUGAAGAGGAGGUUCCUCAAGAGGAGGAGAGCCUAGAAUUGCUUAUGGAAAAAGAAAUAGACAAACAAAGAGAAGAGCAAAUAAACAAACAAAUAGAAAGACAAUGGGAAAAGUGGGAAAAGGAGAAUCUUGAAGAGGAGGUUCCUCAAGAGGAGGAGAGCCUAGAAUGGCCUAUAAAAAAAAUAUGGGAAAAACAGGGGACUGAAGAGAAAGAUCUUUUUGAGGAGGAUCUUCUUUAUGAAGAAGAGGUCCCGGAUUGGGAAGAGUAUAUGAUUCGAAGAAGAAAGGAUUUUUUGGUUAGACGCAUGAAAUUAACUAAACAUUUUAUUCAAACAAAUAUACAACCAGAAUGGAUGGUUUUAUGCCUAUUACCGGUUCUUCCUCCCGAGCCGAGGCCUAUGUUUCAAUUAGAUGAAGGUGAUAUUAUCACUUCAGAUAUAAAUGAGCUCUAUCGAAAACUCAUUCUUCGAAAUCGUACUCUUACCAAAUUCCUGGCAAAAUUAUUUACGCCACUGCCAGACUCUGUUAAUGGUCAAAAAAGAUUGAUCCAAGAAGCUGUAGAUGCACUUCUCGAUAACGGCAUCGGUGGACAACCAGUAACAGAUAGACAUGAUAGACCUUAUAAAUCGUUCUCAGAUUUGAUCCAAGGCAAGGAAGGGAGAUUCCGUGAAAAUUUACUUGGGAAACGAGUCGAUUAUUCAGGUCGUUCUGUGAUUGUGGUAGGUCCUUUUCUCUCAUUGUAUCAAUGUGGAUUACCCCUCGAAAUAGCAGUAGAGCUUUUUCAAGCAUUUUUAAUUCGUAGUCUAAUUGAACGACAUAUUGCUCCCAACCUAAGAGCUGCUAAAAGUCUGAUUCGAGAUAGGGCGCCCAUUAUAUGGAGCGUACUUAAAGAGGUUUUGCGGGGAUAUCCCCUAUUGUUAAAUCGAGCGCCUACCUUACACAGAUUGGGAAUACAAGCGUUUCAGCCUAUUCUAAUAGAAGGGCGCGCUAUUCGUUUACAUCCAUUGGUUUGUGCAGGAUUUAAUGCGGACUUUGACGGGGAUCAGAUGGCUGUCCACGUACCUCUGUCUCUGGAAGCUCAAGCGGAAGCUCGUUUACUUAUGUUUUCUCACAUAAAUCUCUUGUCCCCUGCUACUGGGGAUUCUCUUUGUGUACCAACUCAAGAUAUGCUUCUGGGACUUUAUAGAUCUACCCUUGAAAAUAAUCAAGGCAUUUAUGAAAAUAAAUGCCAUCCAUAUAACUCAAACAAUAAGAUCAUUUCACCUUCGUUUUCCAAUUAUGAGGAUGCGCUCGGGGCUUAUCAACAUAAACGGAUUGACCUAGAUAGCCCUUUAUGGCUCCGGUGGGGGAGAGGCCCGGAUCUGGGGAUAGGUAUCCCUAUUAUUAACUCAGUCAACCGGGAAGCUCCUAUCGAGGUUCAAUAUGAACCUUUGGGCACCUUCUACGAAAUAUAUGAAGAUUUUCAAAUAAGAAAAGGUAGAGCGGGAGAAAUUGUUAAUAAAUACAUUCGAACAACUGUUGGGCGUACUCGUUUGAAUCGAGAAAUAGAAGAAGCCAUGAAAGGCUUGUGGGCUUAUGUCAGCCGAGAAAUGUCGUUAUAAGUUAUCAGAAUAUUAUAUUGUUAGUUUUAUGAUCCUUUCAUUCAUGCAAAGAUAAAGAUCGAGGAAGCCUUCCGUUCCGGCUUGAACCCAUUGCUGAAUCUUACCCCCAAAAAAUGGGAGGUUUUUUCUUAUGACAAACCCUUUGUUCGAAGUACCCUUUCCUUUGUUCGAAGUGCCCUUUUAUAAUAAAGUGAUGGAUAGAACUGCCAUGAAACAGCUUAUUAGAAGAUUCAUAAAUCAUUUUGGAAUGACAUAUACAUCACAUAUAUUGGACCAACUUAAGACUUCGGGUUUCCAACAAGCUACUGAUGCAGCUAUUUCACUAGGAAUUGAUGAUCUUUUAACAGCACCAUCCAAAGGAUGGCUUGUCCAAGAUGCAGAGCAACAGGAUUUUGUUUCGGAAAAAGAUCAUUAUUACGGGAAUGUACAUGCAGUGGAAAAACUACGUCAAUUGAUCGAGAUAUGGCAUGCUACAAGUGAAUAUUUGAGACAAGAAAUGAAUCCAAAUUUUAGGAGGACUGACCCUUUCAAUCCCGUACAUAUGAUGUCCUUCUCAGGAUCCAGAGGAAGUACAUCUCAGGUUCACCAAUUAGUAGGUAUGAGAGGAUUAGUGUCAGAUCCUCAAGGUAAAAUAAUUGAUUUACCCAUUCAAAGGAAUUUUCGUGAAGGACUCUCUUUAACAGAAUAUAUUAUUUCCUGUUAUGGCGCUCGUAAAGGAGUUGUGGAUACUGCCGUGCGAACAGCAGAUGCUGGCUACCUGACGCGUAGACUUGUAGAAGUAGUUCAACAUAUCGUUGUACGUAGAGCGGACUGUGGCACUAUCCAAGGUAGUUUUGUAAGUCUCAGUCGAGGUCGAGAAAGGAUAAAAAAUCAAAUUGUUCUACAAACACAAACACUGAUUGGCCGUGUGUUAGCAGACGAUGUAUAUAUGAAUGGAAGAUGCAUUGCCACACGUAAUCAGGGUAUUGGGACUAGACUUGCCAAUAAAUUACGGAAUCUCCAAGUACAACCAAUAUAUAUACGAACCCCUUUUACUUGUAAGGGUAUAUCCUGGAUUUGUCAAUUAUGUUAUGGUCGGAGUACUACUCACGAUAACUUAAUUGAAUUAGGAGAAGCAGUUGGUAUUAUUGCAGGUCAAUCAAUUGGGGAACCAGGGACCCAACUAACACUAAGGACUUUUCAUACCGGUGGGGUAUUUACAGGUGAUAUUACGGAACAAGUACGAGCCCCUUUCAACGGAAAAAUCAAAUUUAAUGAAAAUUUGAUUUUUCCUACACGUACGCGUCAUGGGCAUCCUGCUUAUAUAUGUUACAAUAACUUUAUCGUGACUCUUGUCGAUGGUCACGAUAAGAUACAAAAAUUGACCAUUCCAUCACAAAGUUUACUUUUGGUUCAAAAUGAUCAAUAUGUGGAAUCGGAACAGGUUAUUGCCGAGGUUCGUGCUAGAACCUCUCCUUUCAAAGAAACAGUUCAGAAACAUAUAUAUUCUGACCUAAAGGGAGAAAUGCAUUGGAGUACCCAUGUGUGUCAUGCCCACAGAAAUUAUAGUAAUGUUCAUUUCAUACUCAAGACAACCCAUUUCUGGAUAUUAUCAGGAGGUAUGUACGGAUCUGUUGAAGUACCUUUCUCAUUUCAUAAAGAUCAAGAUCAAGUGAAUGUUCAACUUAUUUUUGAUAAACAUCAAUCACUUCCAAAUUGUUCGGUGGAUAAAGUGAUCAACAAAUCAGUUGACUCAAACUGCUCCGAGGAAGAAAAAAAAGAACAAAUCUUAAGUUAUCCCCAAACUGAUCGAAUCAUAUCCCCCAAACAUUGGGACUCUAUCUAUCCCAGCAUUCUUUCUGAGAAUUAUGGAGUGGCGGUGAAAAAGAAAACGACCGGAGUAAAACGAAAAAAGGGAACAAAUCCAUUCAUUGUCCCGUUGCAGUGUGAUAAAGAAUGGGGAAAGCGAACAAUCUCUUAUCCUGAUUUCAUUCUUAGAAUACCCAGAAAAGGCAUUCUACAGAAAAAUCAAAUUUUUGCUGUAUUGAAUAACCCUCAAUACAGAAUUGACAGUUUAGAAGGUUCCAAAUAUGAGGGGACCCCCGGGGGUAAUUCAAUUGGGGAAAAUUCAAAUUCUUAUGAAAAUAAAAUAAACAGGGCUUAUGCUUCUCUUAUUUCAGUAAGAACAAAUAAGAAGGUUAUUAAUAUGCUUCGAAUUAGCUUGAAGCAAUACCCCCUUUUGGAUAGGACAGAAAAACACAAUACAACAAGUUCCGAUGUUAUGUUUCAUAACAGCUUAGAUCACACUAAUCCUUUUUCUUCUGAUGAGAAAAGUAAAUUACUUAAUAAAAAUCAAGGCACUAUUCACUCAUUACCCAAUCAGAAGAAAAAGGAUAAAUCCUUUAUAGUUUUGUCGCCGUCUGACUAUUUACAAAUCGUUCUAUUCAAUGAAAAAAAAUGUUUCAAUACGGUAAACAAAUCAAUUCGCGAGGAUCCGAUUACACAAAUCAUUGAAUCAUUGGGUCUCUUGGGUCAUUUACAUAUUAUUGCUAACCGUUUUUCAUACUCCCAUUUCAUAACUUAUAAUAAAGUUAUGCUAAAGAAACGUUCAAUCUCUGAGAACUACUCUAAAACUUUCCAAGUACCUAAAUGCUAUUUUAUGGAUGAAAAUACGGGAAUUUUUAAAUUCGAUCCAUGUAGGAACAUCAUUUACAAUUUCUUUAAUUCUGAUUGGUGUUCCCCCUUAUCCAAUUUUCCCGAAGAAACAUUUCCAGUAAUUAGCCUUGGACAAUUGAUUUGUGAAAGUGAAUAUAUAUCCGAAAAUGAACCAUUUCCCAAAUCUGGGCAAAUUAUAGCUAUUCAUGAGGAAUCUUUAGUAAUAAGAUUGGCUAAACCCUAUUUGGGUACUGGAGGAGCAACUGUUCAUAGUCAUUAUGGGGAAAUUAUUUACGAAGGAGAUACAUUGAUAACUUUGUUAUAUGAAAGAUUAACAACCGAUGAUAUAAUUCAAGGUCUUCCUAAAAUUGAACAAUUGUCAGAAGCCCGUUCAACUAAUUCAAUAUCCAAAAAUAGAAAAAAAAAUGUUCAAAAUUGGAACAGAGACAUGCCAAAAAUUCUUGGGAGACUUUGGGGGUCAUUCAUCAGUGCUAGGAUAACUAUGGAGCAAACUCAGAUUCAGUUAGUCAAUCAGAUUCAAAAGGUUUACCGAUCCCAAGGAGUACAAAUUUCUGAUAAGCAUAUAGAGAUUAUUGUACGUCAAAUGACAUCAAAAGUUUUAAUUGAUGAAAAUUCGGAAAAUCAAAAUUUUGAAUAUGUAAUGGGUAAUGUUUUUUUACCCGGGGAACUCAUUGGAUUAUCACGAGCACAACGAAUGAACCGUGCUUUAGAGGAAGCAAUAAACUAUCGAAUCAUGUUAUUGGGAAUAACAAAGGCAUCUUUGAAUACUCAAAGUUUUCUAUCAGAAGCGAGUUUUCAGGAAACUGCUCGGGUCUUAGCUAAAGCUGCUCUUCAAGGUCGUAUUGAUUGGGUGAAAGGCUUGAAGGAAAAUGUUAUUCUCGGGGGGGUGAUACCUGUGGGUACUGGAUUCAACCGUUUAAAGAGGAGACAGAUGAAAAAUGAUCCGAAAACGGGAAAUCGCAAGUUAUUUAGCAGCAAAGUGAAAGAUAUUUUAUCUCAUCAUAAAAAAAUAUCUGCUUUUCCGAUUGAGAACAUACACUAUUAUAACGAAACAAUGGAUACAACUAGUAAACAAAAAAAGUAGUUUUUCUAAAUGGAUGAAUUUAUUGUUAGAUCUAUCCUAUAAUAAGGAUAUCAAAUAAAAUAGAUUGCUCGUACCACGUAUGAUACGGGCAGGCAAUCAAUGAGAUGUAAUUGAUUCCGUUGGAAUUAAUAGUUAGAUAUUCCAGUUCAUGGUAUUUCGUUAUUUCGAAAAAUGGAAAUCAAGAAGAGAAAAAGGAAUGAUGAAACAUUCUUGGAACAUUAAAUUGGGAAGGAUGAUGAAAGCAGGAGUUCAUCUCGGUCAUAAAACUAGAAAAUGGAAUCCUAAAAUGGCACCUUACAUUUUUACAGAGCGCAGAAAGCUUCAUAUUAUCAAUCUAACUCAAACCGCUCGUUUUUUAUCAGAAGCCUGUGAUUUGGUGUUUGAUGCAGCAGGUAAAGGAAAACAAUUUCUGAUAGUUGGUACAAAAAAUCCAGCAGCUGCUGCUACUAAAUCAGCCGCUUUAAGAGCUCGAUGUCAUUAUGUUAACCAAAAAUGGCUCGGUGGUAUGUUAACUAAUUGGUCCACUACAAAAAUGAAACUUCGAAGGUUGAAAUAUUUGAAGAAAAGGCAAGAUACAGGGGGAUUCCGUCGAUUUACGAAGAAAGAAGCAGCAAGGCUCAAGAGACAAUUGGACCAAUUGCAAAAAUAUUUAGGCGGGCUUAGAUACAUGACAAGGUUGCCCGAUAUUGUCAUAAUUAUUGAUCAGAAAAAACAAUACAAAGCUAUCAAGGAAUGUAGAACUUUGGGUAUUCCCACAAUUUGCUUAGUGGAUACAGAUUGUGAUCCAGAUGUUGUGGAUAUUCCAAUUCCAGCCAAUGAUGAUUCUAUAACUUCAAUUCGAUUGAUCCUCAGAGAAUUAACUUCAGCAAUUUGUGAAGGUAGGUUACUAUAACUAUGUGAAAGGGAAAAUGGAAACAGAAAAACGGUAGGCCUAGAUCUGAGUUGUCUACUCUUCCAAGAUAUUGUAAGAUUAAAUUGAUUGGGUGGACCACUAUUUCCAAAUUGAAAAGAAUAGAUUAAAAUAACCAUAAAUCUUUUUCUUGGAAUCAAGAAAUCUUCUUGAGUAAAUAACCAUUCCGUUAUACAAUUUUGUGGCCAAAAUCUCUGAUUAGGGUUAAAUAAUGGAGGAAUCGGUCAUUCAACCAAAAGAAAUUCUUUUUGAUUGAAGUUCUUUUUUGUUUCACAAAGGGUUAUAUGUAUAUUAUGCAAUCUUCUACUAUUAGCACAUUGAAUCAUAUCUCCCAGAUAUCCAGUGUGGAGGUAGGCCAACAUUUAUAUUGGCAAAUAGGCAGUUUUCAAGUUCAUGCGCAGGUACUUAUUACUUCCUGGGUUGUCAUUGCUGUCCUAUUGGGUUCGGCUACCAUAGCCGUUAGAGAUCUACAAACCAUUCCGACCGGUGGUCAGAAUUUUGUUGAAUAUGUUCUCGAAUUUAUUAGAGACUUGACUAAAACUCAGAUUGGCGAAGAAGAAUAUGGUUCUUGGGUUCCUUUUAUAGGAACUAUGUUCUUAUUUAUCUUUGUUUCUAACUGGUCAGGUGCCCUUCUCCCUUGGGGAAUAAUCAAAUUACCUCAUGGAGAGUUAGCCGCGCCUACAAAUGAUAUUAAUACUACAGUUGCUUUAGCUUUACUCACAUCAAUAGCAUAUUUUUAUGCAGGUCUUACAAAGAAGGGUUUAGGGUAUUUUGGUAGAUAUAUUCAACCGACCCCAAUACUUUUACCAAUUAAUAUAUUAGAGGAUUUUACAAAACCUUUAUCACUUAGUUUUCGACUUUUUGGGAAUAUAUUAGCUGACGAAUUGGUAGUUGCCGUUCCUGUUUCUCUGGUACCUUUAGUAGUUCCUAUACCUGUAAUGUUAUUAGGUAUAUUUACAAGUGGUAUUCAAGCUCUGAUCUUUGCAACUUUAGCCGCAGCUUAUAUAGGUGAAUCCAUGGAGGGUCAUCAUUAAUCAAUUAAUUGCACAUAAUCUUUUUUAAGUAUUUUUCAAAUUUAGAAAUAAUUUGAUAUGUAUGGCACAAAAGGGAUAUUUUUUCCGUUUCGAUUGUACCUGUACCAAAUCAAGGAUUGAAUAAUUCAUCCACUAAUCUAUUACUAGAAUUAUUUGGAAUGGGCAAACUACUCAUCUCGUCGAUAAAAUUACUAGAUAGAAUAGGUCAGAUUUCUCUAUUUGUACAUUUAUAUCUCUCUAUUCAACUAAAAGGGAACAGGUUCCCUAAAGGGAGGUGAUUGAGUCAAAUAUGUACCCGGGUGUAGAACAAUUAAUUUGUUCUAAAUCUAGAAUGUAUUUCAUGUACAUAGUUUGCGUUAUGUAAUAUAUGUAUAUGCAUAUAUGACCCAAAUAUAUUAAUAUAUAAAUAUAUUUACUUAUAUAAUACCUAGAAAAAAAAAUGGGGGGUAUUAUGCAGGUGAUCCCCCAUGUCUUAAAUAAAUAAAAAUCUGCGUAUAUUCUUCAGAUAUUGCAAAGCAAAAGUAUCUCUAUAACAGUAGCGAGUUACCUUAUUUGGUAAUAUUAUCACCUCCAAUAUCAUAAUAAGAUCUCGUUUUUAGUUGUUCUAAAAAAACAAAAAAAAAAGGGUUCAUUAAUCGAAUCAUUGGUGAACAAUCAAAUCAAUAGAAAAAAUUGUUGUAUUAUCAAACAUUUAUCAACCUUAGUAAGAGGAGAUUACCAUGAAUCCCUUGAUUUCUGCUGCUUCCGUUAUUGCUGCCGGAUUAUCGGUGGGCCUCGCUUCUAUUGGACCUGGUAUUGGCCAAGGCACUGCUGCGGGUCAAGCUGUUGAAGGUAUUGCGAGACAACCAGAAGCAGAGGGUAAGAUACGAGGUACCUUACUGCUAAGUUUAGCUUUUAUGGAAGCUUUAACUAUUUAUGGGCUAGUUGUAGCUCUAGCACUUUUAUUUGCAAAUCCCUUUGUUUGAUCUCAAAAACCGAGAUCCGUGCCCCUCAUGAUGAUUAGUACCCUCCUCUAAUCAUUUUCUUGUUCAGCCAAUAAGGGGGACUGUUCCGAAUGAUCAGCAAAUGAUGGGCUCUUUUGCUAUACUUCACUUUUCCGAUCAGAAAGAUUCGUUACACUUAAACGACCAAAUGUGCCAAAACAGUUUUUUGUUUUAAAAAGCAUCCUUACUUAUAGACACGGGCCCAAGACUGACUAAAGAAUCAAAAUCUAUUUUUCUGGAACUCAAAUAAUAGGGUCAAGUCAGAGAAAAAACUUUGUUUGUAAAACUACAAUAUCCUUAUCUAUGAGGGGAGAGCGUAUGAAAAAUGUAACUUAUUCUUUGAUUUCCCUGGUUUAUUGGCCUUCCGCUGGGGGUUUAGCGUUAAAUACCAAUAUUUUAGAAACAAAUAUAAUAAAUUUAAGCGUGGUGCUUGGUGUACUGAUCUAUUUUGGAAAGGGAGUGUGUGCGAGUUGUAUAUAUUGAAUAAUAUGGCUGGGUCCAACCAGCUGCACUUUAUAGAUAGAAAAGUGCAUGAUCUAAACGAAUUACUUCUAACGGGAAAUGAGUAUGGAAGAACUAUAGCAUUUCGUAAUUUAUUGGGAUAUCACCUGAUCAACCAAUAAGAGGAUACCAUUAGAAUGGUUAAAGCUGAAUUGCUUGAAGUCCAAGCACAAUUGGGUACUCUUUCCGCCGCUGUGCCAGUAUUAGAAGGGUCCAAAGGCAUAGUUGGAGAUUGAUCCGAUAUAUAACAUUCAUAUCACUGGACUGAAUUGAUCUAUGGACUGAAAAAAAUCCUAAUCUCCCAUCCAAGUUUUUGGGUUAAAUGCUGACCCGACGACCUACACAGAAGGUAAAUUAUUCAAGAAAGAGUAAAGAGUAAACACGAAUGGAAAUAAAAAAGGGGAAAGAGGGAAAGGUAAUGCGAAGAAGGAACACACACAAGAACAACUUUGUCGAUAAUGAAAAAUCCCUUUUGGCGAAAGAGCCCUUCGGAGAUUUCGGUCUUUGAUAGAUUGAUCUUAUUUUUACGUAAUAUGAAGAGAAAGGGCAGGCUUGGUGAAAAAAGGGAUUUAUACUCCCAUAAAAACCCUGAGCAGGAAAGCCGAAUGAAUUGAAAGGUUCGUGUUCGGUUUGGGAAGAGAUUAGAAAAUGGUUCAAUUUUUGAAUAGAUAAUCUACUUUCAUUAAGUAAUAUAUUAGAUAAUCGUAAAAAUAUAAUAUUGACUACUAUUCGGAAUUCAGAAGAACUAGCUGAAUCAGCUACCAAUCAGCUCGAACAAGCUCGAGUUCGUUUACGGGAAGUAGAGAAAAGAGCGGGGGAAAUCCGGAUAAAUGGAUACUCCCAAAUAAAACGGGAAAAAGAGGACUUUAUCAAUGCUACUUCUGCAAAUUUGGAACAAUUAGAGGAUUCCAAAAAUGAGACCAUUCGCUUGGAACAACAAAGAGUAAUUGAACAAGUCCAACAACAAGUUUCUCGUCAAGCUGUCCAAAGAGCUCUGCGAACUCUGAAUAGUCGUUUGAAUAGUGAGUUACAUUUACGUACGAUCGAUCAUCAUAUCGGUUUGCUUAGAGCCAUGAAAAACAUAACAGAUGAGCUUAUAUAAUAUAUAUGCUCAUGAAUAGAAAGAUAAGCUUAUCUAUAUAAGCUUAAUAUUAUAUAUAUAUAUCUAUACGUAUAGGUCUUAUUUUUAAAAAGAGAAUGAACUAGUGUUAAUUUAAUGGUAACUAUUCGCCCCGAUGAAAUUAGUAAUAUGAUACGGAAACAAAUCGAGCAAUAUAAUAACGAAGUAAAAGUCGUUAAUAUUGGCACUGUACUUCAAGUAGGAGAUGGGAUUGCUCGUAUUCAUGGUCUUGAUAAAAUAAUGGCGGGGGAAUUAGUCGAAUUUGUAGAUGGUACAGUAGGGAUUGCUCUGAAUCUAGAAUCAAAUAAUGUUGGAGCUGUAUUAAUGGGUGAUGGCUUGAUGAUACAGGAAGGCAGUUCCGUGAAAGCAACAGGAAAAAUUGCUCAGAUACCAGUAAGUGAAGCUUAUUUGGGUCGUGUUGUAAAUGCGCUAGCCCAACCUAUUGACGGUAAGGAUAAAAUUUCAGCUUCCGAAUUUCGAUUGAUCGAAUCUCCCGCUCCAGGUAUUAUUUCGAGACGUUCUGUAUAUGAACCUCUUCAAACGGGUCUUAUUGCUAUUGAUUCCAUGAUCCCUAUAGGACGCGGUCAACGAGAAUUAAUUAUUGGAGACAGGCAGACCGGCAAAACAGCAGUAGCUACAGAUACGAUUAUCAAUCAAAAGGGUCAAAAUGUCAUAUGUGUUUAUGUAGCUAUUGGUCAAAAAGCUUCUUCCGUGGCUCAGGUAGUUAAUACUUUCCGGGAAUGUGGCGCAAUGGAAUAUACAAUUGUAGUAGCGGAAACUGCGGAUUCUCCCGCGACGUUACAAUAUCUUGCUCCUUACACAGGAGCAGCUUUAGCCGAAUACUUCAUGUAUAAAGAACAACAUACAUCAAUAAUUUAUGAUGAUCUCUCCAAACAAGCACAAGCUUAUCGACAAAUGUCUCUUUUAUUAAGGAGACCACCUGGCCGGGAAGCUUAUCCGGGAGAUGUUUUUUACUUGCAUUCCCGUCUCUUGGAAAGGGCAGCUAAAUUAAAUUCUCAGUUAGGCGGGGGUAGUUUAACUGCUCUACCAAUAGUGGAGACUCAAGCUGGAGAUGUUUCAGCAUAUAUUCCCACUAAUGUAAUUUCCAUUACUGAUGGACAAAUCUUCUUAUCGGCUGAUCUAUUCAAUGCAGGAAUAAAACCUGCUAUUAAUGUAGGCAUUUCCGUAUCUAGAGUAGGAUCUGCGGCUCAAAGGAAAGGAAUGAAAAAAGUAGCUGGAAAAUUGAAAUUGGAGUUAGCCCAACUUGCAGAAUUAGAAGCCUUUGCACAAUUUGCUUCUGAUCUUGAUAAAGCUACUCAAGAUCAAUUGGCAAGAGGCCAACGCUUGCGCGAGUUGCUCAAACAAUCUCAAUCAGAUCCUUUGACAGUGGAAGAACAAAUAGCUAUGAUUUAUACUGGAACGAAUGGAUAUUUGGAUGUAUUAGAGAUAACACAAGUUAGAAAAUUUAUUGGUGAGUUACGCAGCUAUUU
rnacentral:tRNA from 1 species